GUUCCAGCAGGGCCUGGUGAAGAAGCGCCGAGGCUGGGAGUAGGGGCCUCAUUUGAUGGAGACGGUGGGCUGGAGGCCGAAGGUGAUAGUGCUGGAGACUUAGCUUUGGUCUUGCUAGGGGCCGGAGCUGGAACCGUGGCAGGAGGAGAAGCCAAAGGAGCUGGUGGUGGGGUAGCUGGAGGAGGAGUAGCAGGAGGGGGAGAAGCAGGUGGUGGGGUAGCCGGAGGUGGAGAAGCCGGUGGGGGAGUUGCGGGAGGUGGAGUAGCCGGGGGAGGAGAAGCUGGUGGUGGGGAGCUAACGGGCGGGGGAGUCGCUGGAGGAGGAGUGGAAACUGGUGGUGGUGAUGAAGUAGGAGGAGGAGAGGAAGCUGGUGGCGGAGAAGUAGUUGUGGGUGUUGGAGGUGGUUGAGUAGUAGGUGGAGGUGUGGAAGCGGGUGGAGUCGGCGGCGCCGGCGUGGAUGUCGGAGGAUUACUAGGAGUAGGAGGAGCUUGGCCUAAAACGCCAGCUACAGCAAUGCAAAACAAAGCUGAUAAGAACAAAAACUUAUUAUUAAGCAUCAUAUUGGAAACAAUGGUGACCCUUUAAUCCUGCACACCCUCUCCGCUUAAACUACGCCCAGCCGUGCAAGCAAAUGAGGGAGAAGAAGAGGCAAGUAUGAGAAAUGAAAAGAUGGUGAUAUUUAUAUAUAGGAUAUGGAAAUUUCCAUAUCAUAUUUCAAUUUAAAAUCCCCAAAACAAAUACCAGCAUUUUUAUUUUAUUACUAAUGGGAAAAUUGCAUUACUAAUCAUAUACAAUAUUCUAUAUUAAUUUAGUGUAAUUUAAUUCUUUCAUUUUUUUAUAAUGUUAUUAAUAGGUCCAAAAUCAAUAUCUCCGAUCGUUAGUUGCUGUCAUUAAAGUGAUGAUACGAAAUUAUUUUUUUUACUAUUAUUCCAUCAUACAAUCAGAGAUAUAGAAAUCAAUCAAUUUUGUUAAACAAAUAAUAAAUUUCAAUCUGAGUCAAAUGCUUAAAGUUGUUAAAAAAAAUUCACGUCAUCACUUUAACAACAUCAACUAAUAGCGUUAUCAAUUUGUACUUUGUAGCUACCAAUAACAUUAUAAAAAUAAAGGGUCAAAUUAUAUAGAAGUAAAGGAUUAAAUCUCUAAUUUCAAUUUAGUAAAGGGACUAAAAUGGAAUUAAACCUAUUAGUGGGGGUCGGAGUUUUUUCCUCGUUUGGUGAGGUAAAAAAAAAAAAAAACCCUAGUGGGGCAUAGUUAUAAUGUCACUUUGAUGAUUAUAAAUGAUGCGUUAGUUAGUCAUACUUUAGGUAAAAAACUGUGAGGUGGGAUUAGUGUAGAUUGAAAAUUUUUAGUGAAGGGGUUAAUUUAUACCUUCAAAAUUUUGCAAUAUUUGGUAGUUCCAUGAAAUAUUCCCCGCUAUUUAUCAACUUUUCAAUCACUCAAAUAGGUUUUAAUUUAGUUUUGUUGUGAAAUUUCUAAUUCAAGCAUACAAUGAGUAGAUUUUAUUAUGGGUCGGGUCGGGUUAUUAUAAAAUUUUAGGUGUAACGUCCCGAAUUUUUGGGCCUAGAAGUUAAAAGAUUUAAGCAUAGGGGCAGUAAGGAGGCCACACAUAAGUGAUUAGUUGUGCACUAUAGUGAUAAGAAUGGGCUUAUUAGUCUAGUGGUUAAAUGGAGUGUUAAUUAAGUUCAAGGUUUUUGGUUUGAGUCACUAUGUGUACAUUUUGGGAGUCUUUUUAUUUUGUUUUUUUUUAGUUAGUGAUAAUAAUUAAUUAUUUUAUUUUAUUUUUAUUAUUUUUCUUUUCUUUUCCACGUUAGUUCUCUCUACUUCUUGGUUUUUUUUUCUUUUUGUUCUUUUUCCUUGGACUUUCAAUUUGUGCAUUCUCUAUGUUUUUGAAUCGUUUGCUUACAGAUUUCGAAUUGUCGCACCUCUAUCGUCUUCUUCGUCGUUCAAUCAGGUGAGGGAUUCAAACUUUAACUACAUUGUUUAAUUUUGCAAAGUUUACGUGCGGCUUUUCUUGAAUAUGUGAUAACCCGAAGGUUUUUGGGUUUUGAUCGUUGGAAGUGAGGAAAAUACGUUAUAUUGUGAUAUGUUCUUGAUGUGGUUAAGGUUAGGGACAGUUUGGGUGGCUAAAACGGUGUUUUCGGGGCUAAUUUGGGGUGGUUUCAUGACCUCUCCGGCAGCUACACGGGCGUGUGCCGUGGUAGACAGUCAUAUGGAUUUGGGAACUAGGGUUUCCAGGCCAAAUUGGAUGCCACACGGCCGUGUGGCCGAUUUGGGGAUUUUGUCGAAAUUCACACGGCUGUGUCCCCUAGGCACAUGGGCAUGUGGGUUUGGAAUUAGGGUUUCAGAGAUUUGAAGUCACACAGCCUGGCCAUACGGCUGUGUGGCUGAUUUUGGGAUUUAGGGAUCCCACACGAGUGUGUGUUUCGUAACACACAACCAUGUCUAGUUGGCACACGGGCAUGUGAGACCCUCACAUAGCCGUGUCUGCCCUGCACCUUAUUUUAGCGAAAUUGGACAGUGAGUUACACAGCCUGUUCACACAGUCGUGUCUCUGCUUCGCACGGGCGUGUGCCUAUGUCACAUGGCCGUGUGCUAUCCUUCACAAGGGCGUUUGAAGCCUCACACGAUCUGGAUUGCUCUACACGGCUGAAGCAUACGGGUGUGUAGCCCUAUCUCGCCAAAUAAUGAUUUUAGGUCAAAUUUAAGUGCAAUCGUGACUCUAUGUAUUCCAACCCUCGACUGAGCUCUAGUGAGGGUAUUUACGACGCUGAUCUGAGUUUGGAUAAUGUGUUAAUUGUGAUUGGUUAUGUGACAUGUUUGAUUCUGAACCCGGGUUAGCUGGGUGAGUGUGUAUGCAACUAGUUCUGUCUGACUGUUUGAAUACGUGUCAUUGAUAUGCGAGCUUAUUUUGCAAUUGCUACUGAAUUCAAGUUACGAGUAUACUUAAGACUAAUUUUGUAACUAACUGAUUGGAUGUGAGCGUCUACUUCUGAAUAAUUGUUUGAGACUAGUAUUCUGAUUGUGUACAUCUGACUGCAUACAUACAUACAUAUGCAUAAACUAUUUUGGGCGGGAUUUUUGAAGAGAAGGUGUUGUAGGCCAAUUUUGGGCCCGUUUACACUUUAGGCCGAACAUACAUCAAACCCAUUUACAAUUAAACCCCAGCAUAACCCACAACCCAAACCCAACAAAUAAACCCAAAACCAAACCCAAAUUUAACCCAAUUCAAAUCCCAUAGACCCAAACCCACAUGUAAGCCCAAGUUGUUAGACCCAACUAGCUUGAUUUAGGGUUUCAAAAAAACUGAAACCCUAACCUACCCCCAGCGCCGCCAACGUCACAUCGCCCAUGCCAGUCCACUUGCACUACCUUUGCUCCACUGUUCAACCACCACCUGCAAAACAAAAGAGCACGCAACAGCAGCGCAAAAAUAGGAAAUAGACAGUGUAUGAACAACAAAAUCGGCUAUAAAGCCGAAUGGAAACCAAUGUAAUAGAAAAUAUUUUCGGUUAUUUUCUUCAUCAAUACAAAAAAAUAGAUUUAAACAUAUACAAGCAAUAAUUCGGGGAAAAUCAAAACACUAGAAUAACACCAAUUGGGCAACCAAAACAUCAAUAUCAAAAGCCUAAGGUGAUUUAAAUCUUUUUAUUUUUAUUUAUUUUUGAAUCAUACAUACCUAUGUAUUUUCAUAAAUAGUAUAAUAAAAAGGAAAAUAAAAGAAUAAAAAAAAGAUAGGAAAUUUUUACCUUUUCCGGCCACCGUGCGACGGUGGCACACGGCGGUCCGGCAACCAGACGUGGACGGCGACCGGCCUUGUGGCCGGAAUUCGCCUCUCCUUCUCCCCUCUCUCUUUUUUUUCUUUGCUAUGCAGAAAAUGAAUUUUUUUUGAAGAUUUUGGCCUUUUUAUAGCUUCCUAAAACGACGUCGUUUUGGGGGUUGCCCUUUAACCUCAAAACGACGUCGUUUUGCCCUGGAUCAGGUCGACCCGACCCUACCCACUCAGGAUCUGAGUGUUUUUGCUCUUAGGGGCUAAUUGCGCACGCGGUCCUUCCGCUUUUUCUAUGUUUUUCAAUCAGGUUUUUUAUGUAUUUUAAUUUGGCCCUAUAAUUAGUUGCGCUUUCCAAUUUGGUCCUCAAUGCUAUUGCGCAUUUUGGGUGGAGAGGCUUAUUUCGUUUUAAGUCCCUCCACUAUUUGUGCGCGUUGAAAUAGGUCCCCUUCCCUUCUUUUUAUUUCAGUUUUUGCCCCAAGCCUUUUAUUUUUAAUUCGAUUCGAUCCUUUUUUUAAUUACUUUAUUAUUAAAAUUAAUUAUUUUAGUAUUAUUGUUAUUAGCACUAUUCAUGUACAUAUAUAUUAUCAUUAUUGUUACUAUUACUAUUAUUAAUCUUCAUAUUAUUACUAUUAUUUCUUUAUUUUUAUAUUAUAUUAUAUUAUAUUAUUAGUUUUUACUAUUAUUAGUAUUAGUUUUAGCUUCAAUUAAUAUUUUUAACAUGCAUAUUUAUAUACUUUUAUGUAACAUUAUUAAUAAUUAUUUUUUAAAAUAUUAUUAUUAUUUUUUAAUACAUGCAUAUAUAUUAUGUGUAUAUUCUUUUAAUAGACAUUAUGUAUAUAUAAUUUUAUAUAUUAUUUUUAACUUUACAUUAUGUAUAUAUUGUUAAUAUCAUAUUAUUCAUAUAUUCUAUUAUAUUAUAUAACUAUAUUAUGUAUGUAUUUUUAACACUAUAUUACGUACAUACUUUCAAUAUCAUUAUUAUUAUGUAUAUAUAUUUUUAAUAUAUAUAUGUGUAUAUUUAUGUAGUAUUAUUAAUAGUUGUUUUUAAUAUUAUGAUUAUUUCUAGUAUAUAUAUAUUAUGUAUAUACUUCUAAUACUAUAUAUUGUAUAUUUCUAAUACCAUUAUUAUUUAUAUGUGUAUAUGUGUAUGUAUUUAUGUAUCGUAUUAUAGUUGUUGUUUUUUUUGUAUCAUUAUUGUUGCUAAUAUAUAUAUAUCAUGUAUAUAUGAUUUUUUUUAUAUAUAUUAUGUAUAUAUCUUUAAUAUUAUAUUAUUUAUAUAUUUAUGCUUACAUAUUAUCUUACGUAUAUAUUUUUAAUAACUAUAUUAUGUAUAUACUAUUACUAUAUAUCUAUUUAUGUUGCAUUAUCAAUGGUUGUUUUUACUAUUAUUAUUAUUCUUAAUAUAUAUAUUAUGUAUACAUUUUUAAAUACUAUAUUAUAUACAUAUAUUUUUAAUACCAUAUAUGUACAUAUCAUUAUUAUAUCUAUUUUUACCCCUAUUACAUUUGUUAUUAAUAUUAGUAUAUAUUUUAUUAUACGUGUAUAUAUAUACUUUUUAAUAUAGUAUUAUUUUUAUAUAUCAUUAUAUUUAUUAUUAUACUUAUUAUUUUCGCUAUUGUUACUUAUUAUUUUAUUUUAAUAUUAUUGUGUAUUAUUUGGUAUACAUAUAUCUUUUUGUACAUAUUGUUAUUUUUUAUUAUACGUAUAUUAGUUUAUUAUGGUAUUAAUACAUUUUUACCUUUUUCUUUUAUUGUAAAUAUUAUUUAUUAUUACUCUAAUAUCCUAAUAUUAUAUUAUAAUACUUUUUAUUAAUCAUCUCAUUAUUUUGCAUCGUUUAUUUACUUAUGAAUUUUUGUUAACAUCAUCAGUUUUUUUUUAUCAUUAUUUUAGAAACAUUUUUAUUUUAAUAAAUAAUGCAACGUACCGAUUUUAACAUUAAGUUUGUGAUUUCAUCGCUAUGUUGGGUGAAUCACGUUGGCUCGUGUUAAAAACGGGACAUCCUUCAAAAAAACCAAAAACUUGAAAUUUCUCGUGUCUUGGUCGGAUCAUGAUUAAAUAUUAAAUUAAACUUGUAUUUUUGAAAAUUAAGACAACGCGUAAUUAACAAGAUACUAAUUUUGGGCGUCGUGAGGGUGCUAAUACCUUCCUCGCGUGUAACCGACUCCCGAACUCUAUUUUCCUCUGGAUUUUCACGUAGACCCAAAUUCGGCCUUCAUUUUUGUUCAAGAAUAAAUUUUCUUUUCUAAAAAGAAGAUUUAUUAGGUGUCUGAUCACACCUAGAAAAAAGAUCGGUGGCGACUCCUUUUCUUUUUAAAACCGAAAUUCCAUUUUCAAAUAAUCGCCUCAACUAGCGACCGGAAAGUGAAAUUUUUACGUUGCUACAGAAGGAAGAUUGACUGAACUGAACUGAUAGCUAAUAUGUUGCCCCUAAUACCCAGAGGGUCAUGGGCGGUCCCAAUACCCUGAGGAUCGUGGUUAAUUUGACUGUACUGCGGACUAUCGCACUGUACUGUACAGAACAUACAUCAGCACCGCUGCUAUCAUUGACUAAACUGGCAAUUUUACUGCAACCUAACGAUAUAGCGGUCUACCGCAUUGCAUUGUACCGCAUGUACGUUAGCUACGCUACGUACUAUUAUCUGAUCUGGCAGUUCAUACUGCAUGUCUGUACCGCGGUUCACCGCAUUGCACAGUACAACCUAUACGCUGGCUUUCCUACGUAAUUUACGUGACUAGCAGUUUAUCUGCAUACUGUUAGCCCAAAUUCCCAGAGGGUCGAUGGCAAUCCCAAUACCCUGAGGGUCAUGGACAAUGCUGAUGAUCAUCGUUGUCGGGUAACCCGGGAUGACAUCAUAUGGGGUGUAGGGUUGGAUGGGCUUUGCGAGGUCCUGUAUGGAGUGUUUGGUGGGACAAGCUUAAAGCUUUUAUGAGAAGUGAUGGGGGACGGAGAGGUGUGUUGGCUGGAUAGGUGGAUAUUUUUAGAACUCAUUUGUACUCAUAUGUAUCUGAUUGAUCUGUUUAACUGAAUUGGAACUUGUGAAUGGUUGAGAAUUAUUGCUACUGUGACUGAAUGUGAUACUGUUCGAUUGAGAGGCACUUGUGCCUAUGUGAAUUUUGUAGAUUCUGAUUGCGACUGUCUGACUGGAUUCUUACUGUGACUGAUUAAGAUUUGUUGCUACUCUGUCUGAGUGGUACUUGUGGCUGAGUGUAUCUAACUGAUUGAGUUAAAACUAGUGGCAGAAUAGCACUAUGUUUGUGUAGCUGAGUGUAAUUUUUAAUAUGCAUUAACAAAUAUCUGUCUGUCGGUACGUCCGUUUCGAACGUACCCUUUGGUUCUGAAUAGCUCUGUAAGUAUGUUUUAUUUCUGAACUGCUUUUAGUUCCCUGUUUCUGUCUCUGUAGUUUAACUGGUUUGAUCUCAAACUGAGCUCGAGUAGCUCACCCCCUCUUUCGUUUCCCUUUUCAGGUACAAUUCUGGAUUAUGUUGAUGGACUUGGCACGCGAAGGUCUCAGACAGUCUCGCAAACAAAUAAAUUAUCAGUUUUGUUUUCCGUUACGAUUUUGUUAUUUGGUUAACUUUGAACUGUAAGGCUUUAUAAUACUGUGGUACAGUUUCCAUUUUAGAUUUUCAUGCAUACGUUUAUUUUGGGUUUUAUAUUGAGUCUUACUGUAAAUUUUAUUGACUGAUUAUUAAAUGGUUUUAAACACUUUUGGUUCACUGAGAUGAGUUAUUUUGUAAAAUUUUCCUACGAUCACUUCGGUGAUCAAUGUAGCAUUCCGAAUUCGGUCUAGACUUUUAGGCCGAGUUUGAGGUGUUACAUUAGGUUUAUUUUUUAGGUUCUAAUUUGACUCGAAAAAUAGGUCUAAAAUUUUAACUAAACCCAGUUUAGAUAAAAAUAUUAAACCCAAGUCCAAACGUAUUAAACUUUUUAUAUUAUUAUUUAUAAAAAAACAAAUUUAAAAAAUAUAAUACAUCAAAUACACUAAAAAUAUUAAAAUAGAUGUUUCCUAAUAAAUUGAAAAUACAUUAAAAAAGUUUUUAUACUUAACAAGCAAAUGCCUUUAAAAUAGUAGCAAAAUUAACAAGCCCAUGAUUAGGUCUAAUGAUGAGUUCUUUUGUUAGUAAUGUUUAUUUUGGUAUUUGAGUUUUUUCUGUCUUAAUUUGGUACUUAAUUUUGACUUUAAUUUUUUUCCAAUUAAGCACUUAAGUUUGGCUUCAAUGUUCAAUUUGGUACCUAAUUUUUUUUGUCCAAAUUAAUUACCUAUAUAUUUUUUACCAAAGCAUGUGUGUCAAACAUUUAUUGGAUCAUAUGAUGACAUUUGGCUUAGGUAUCAAAUUGAAUAUCAAAUUCAAACCUAAGUACUAAAUUGAAACAAAAAACACAAAUACUAACUUAAGUAUUAAAGCUAAACUCAAGUAUCAAAUUGUAUAUUAAUCAUUGGUAAACAAAAUUUCAAGGAUUAGCAUCUACUAAGCUUUCAUUUUCCCUUUUGCAUGUUACAAUUGAUAUUUGUUUAACGCAUAAACUUGGUAUCUUUUUUCCCGUAAUGAUCCAUUUUCAACAAUUUUUGUACACCUAUAUUAAAAUCUGAAAUAAUUUGGUUAUCUUCAACAUACAUAAAGCUGUUAUAUUAAAGUUUAUUUAUAGUUGAGAUUUUUAAAGGAUUUUUAUAAGAUAUUUUUUACACAUUCUUUCCAUGACAUUAAGGAGUAGGGAAGAAAACGUGGUAGUGUUAAAAGGAUCAGUUCAUCUAAACAAGCGGAAAGUCAAAAUAAGAAACAAAUUAAGGAGGAGUAGGGGACUCACACAUCCAUAACAUAUGCAUAUGUUAAUAUUAAAAAUUUACACAACGCAAUUGUAAAUGGUGAGACUUGGACUUCGAUACUUAAAGACCCAAGAUAUCGCCUUAACCAAUAAUGUCAACAAGAUCUCAUUAACUUUUUAGGAAUUUUCUUAACUUCACAUAUAGGGAUUAAAAAAUUACGAUAUAACUCAAUAUAAUAUUAAAGAGUAAAAGUUAAUCAAAAUUUACAUAUAUCACUCAUUUAAUCAUAUGUGUACAGAUAAAAGGAAGCCACUCAUCCUCUUGCCAACCCUACGUGUAACAUAAUUCACUAUAAAUUCCACCUACAUAUACAUACAUACAUAAAUAUAAAAGAGAAUUUCAUGGUCUUGGACUAGAUUGGCUACAAAAUUUGACAAACGGCAUGUGUAGGAGGAUUAAAUUCGAUGAAUUGCAUGAGAGUUUCUCCUUUUUGAUAAUUUAGUACAUGAGAGAAUAAUGAUGAUUGUGGGGGGGGGGGGGUGCUCCAUCGAAAUAGCUGGAAUUUAUUUAUUUUAGUGAACUGGCAAAUGUAAUUUGUACGCCAAGUUAUAAGGUGAAAAAGGGAGAAAUCAUAUAGAUUUGGUUGGUAAUGGUAUGUUGAUGUUGGAACACCUGCGGUGCACCGCCACAAUUAGUAGGCCCCUAGCCCCGCUGUCACCCCAUCAUAUGUGCUUUUGGAUGGAUCCAACAUUUUCGUGUUCUUUCAUUCUUCAACAUCAUCAUUAUUAAUUAGUUACUCUUCAAUUUCUAUAUGUAAUUUGCUUUCUUUUCAUUCAUAGGUUUUCUGUUUUCUGUCUUUGAUUUUGUCUUGUGCACAACUGAUGUCCUCCAUUUUUUUCCCCUUUUGUAGAAUUGGGUUUGUCACUUUAAUAGUGCCCGAAAUUAUUUUAUGGAUUUUUUUCAUCAUAUCAUUUAUAAUCUAUUUUUAGUUAUUUAAUGAUAUUUUAGUAAUUUUUUUAUGUUAUUGACACAUAAUUUUACUAAUUUUUUUACCCAGAACCCUCAAUCUUGAGUUUAGAAUCUUGAACCCCGAACCUUGAACCCUAAACUCAAACAUUAAACUCCAAACCUAAACCUUAAAUCUUGAAACCCUCAAGGUUUAGGUUUGAGGUUUAAGUUCAAAUUCAAGUUUGUAGUUCAGGGUUCGAGGUUUGAAAUUUAAGGUUCGGGUUCAGGGUCAGAGUUCAACAUUCAGGAUUCUAGGUUUGGGGUUUAAGAUAAAAAAAAAUUACCAAAAUUAUAUGUCAAUGACAUGAAAAAAAAAUUACUGAAAUGUCAUUAAAUAAUUAGAAAGGGACCAUGGAUGAUGUGGUGGGAAUGGUCCAAAAAUAAUUUCUCAUUUGUAUGGGAUAUUAUUCAUUAUCUAUUAUAAUUUGAUAUCUCUAUUUUUAUAAUAUUAUUAGGGGAAAGGAUUGUAUGAAACAGUGACGCCAUGUCAUCUGUAUCCCUUUCCAAUAAUUUUAUGCCAUAUCAUUACUUUUAUCCUCAAUUUCAGGAUUUUAUCCUGAAAAAAAUCAAAUCCAAAUUAAAAUCCUGAAAUUCAGGAUAAGAAUAUUGAUGUGGCAUAAAACUAUUGGAAAGGGAUACAGAUGACGUGGCGUCACUGUUUCAUACAAUCCUUUCUCUGUCCAAAUUUAUAACAAUGUUGAUUGCUUCACUAAAAUGAGAAGGUCCAAAAGAGUUAGAAGAUGUUAUUGAGAUUAAUAAAGGAGUAAUUUAUUUCGAGAUAGAUUAAUAUAAUUUAUUUGUGUUUUUUAUUUAAAAAAAAAAGUAAAAGGACGUAGUAAAGGAAUUUUCAUGCAUCAAUAAUUUAUUAUUUAAACUAUGAAAUUUCAAAAAAGAAGAAAUUCAUGUUGAAAUUGAUACUAUCAAGCAAUUUAAAAGUGUAAAAAUUUCAGUAUCAGCUGGAUAUUUAAUGUCAAAUAAACUAAAGAAAUGAGAAACACAAGCCAAUUGUCCACAAUGAUUAACUUGUUCCUAAAAAGAAAGUUGUACAUAGACUUUGCUUAUAAAUCAAUCCAAUUUUUUUUUAUAUAAAAGGAAACAUAUUACAUACUUAUAUUGAGUUAUUUGUACCACAACCCACUUAAAUUAUGAUUUUAAUUUUCGAUUGAGUCUUAGUUCAAUUGAUAUUGGCAUUAUUAUCUGUGGAGGAGUGGAUUCAAGUGCGCUGAAACGCAUUAUCCUUCUAUUUAAAUGUUGGGAAGGAACUAUAGAUUCGAAAGCAGAUAUGAUAAGAACCUAUAAUAAAAUUAAUGUAAUGCCUCCUUUUUCCUUUAAAUCCUACUUAAAACACACUUACUUAUUAUUUGCUAAAAUAUUGACAAAUCUAUAAUUUGAAUUCGAACAUUUAUAAUUCAAUCUUGGUCCCUUUAAUACAAAAAAUGUUGGCUUCACCCUUGAUCAAUUUAGUCAUCAAGUUUUUUUUUUUUAACAUAAAUUUCAAUAUAGAUUCUUAUCAUAUUAGCUCUUUUUGAUACAAUGCUUAUAACUAUCCAUAGCCCUUCCCCAAUCAUUAAAUAGUAGGAUAAUACACUUUAACGUAUUCGAAUCCACAUCCUCUUCUACUGACAACAAUGUCAAUCAAUACAAUUUUAAAUACGAGUGUACUACUUAGAUAAUCAUAUCCAAGGUACACAUACUUUUAAAAUUUGAUCCACACACUUUAAAUAUACCCCACCUCUGAUCUAAUCUAGCAUUUAUCACCUAAGCUGACGGUUAGAGGAACAAAAGAACUUGAUUGAUAUAAUAUCAAUAUUUUAUAGACUCAAUCGUACCAUAAUUAUGGACGUUUUCGCUGAGUUAACUCUAUAUCUAAAUAAGUCAUGGUAAACAUUCAAUAUUAAAAAAGAUAAAGGGAAAGUAUAAUAACCCAAAACACCAAAUUUUGGUUGGUUUAAUUUGCAGCUUUAACCAAUGCUUUUGCAUGAUCCAUCAAUUAGUGAGGAUUUUGAUCUUAAUUGGAGGGUCCCAUUCGGUUAUUAAGCUCUUUUUCCACCCUCAUGAUUGCCAUAACAUGGGCCCUUACCGUUUUACUUUGGAUACCCUUUUAUCUUUGCUUUGCUUUGCUUUGAUUUAAGGUUUUAUACAUAAAUGGUCACUUAAACUAUACCUCAAUUUUUAGAUUUGUCCUUAAAGUUUUUUUUUUAUCAAGAGUGGCCCCCACACUAUCAAAUUUAUCUCAUUUUACCCAAAAAGCGUACAAUAUCCAAUAAAAAUAUUUAAAAUGUGACGCGUGUCACAUUCUUAUUGGUUAAUAUCAUUUUUUGAAUAAACAAAAAUAAAAUUAACAGUUUAGCGAUCACUUUGACCAAAUAAAAAAGUUUUAAGGACUACUUUAGGAAUUUAGAUAUAACUUAAGAGUUAUUUUAUUAAUAAAGCUUUGAUUUAUUCAUCAAUUAACACUGAAAGAGUUUUCCUUAAUUUACUCAAAUGGUCUUUUUGUUUGUAUCACCUAACAUUUUGAAGAACAUCCUUUCUCUGUGUACCUCAUACAAUUCGUUAAUACGAAAAUUUUAUGAUUUUUUUAAAAAUAAAUUUAAUUGUCACGUUGCAGGUUACAAAUACUUUUAAAUAAGGGCUUUUUUCAUACAAGAAUACCAAUUAAAAAAUAUCUUCAAAGGUAUAUCAGUUAUACUCAGAUCAAAAUGUUUAAACUUAAUUUAUCUAAUUUCUUCGGCAGGGACCUAACCCAAAAUUGGUAAAAUUAAAAUUAGAUCUUUAUAAUUUUGAAGCAUUAAAAUUGAAUUUUUUUUAAAUUGUAAAAUUAUAAAUUUAGCCCCUAAAAAAAUUAUAAUUCAACUUCAGCCUCUAAAAUUUUUUCCUCUAACUUCAUCUCCCCAUAAUUCAAUAUAUUUAAAAAAAUUUGUGACUGACAUUACCAACAAAAAAUAUAUUUAUAAUUAGUAUUUAAUAUACAAUUAAUGAAAUGUUUUAAUUCUAUAAGCAAUGUUCAAAAUUUUCAUAUAUCUCAAUUUUUAAUAUUUUUUUUAUUAAAUCAUGAAUGAAAUAUAUAUUACCUUUCAGAUUUUACUUGUAGAGUCUAAUAACUAUAUGACGCAUUAAAUCAUUAUACAUAUAUAAGGUCAAGUGGUCCAUAGGUAGCUUAGAGUACAAGGGAUUAAGUUGAGGGUCUCUUAUCAUUUUCCCCAAAUGUGAAGUGAUGUUAACUGCUUAGCUUUCUCCUCUUGCCCCAUUCAUUUUCCUUCCUUUCCACAAUAUAUAUUGUAUAAGUAUUUAUGGGUAAUCGAUUGAGUAUUUACUCGAUUAAUAUGAGUAUUAAUGUCAAUAGAGGAGGACGUAGAUUUGGCGCAUUAUUCUUCUAAUCAUGGGUUGAGAGGCUAUGAGUAGUUUUAAAUAUUAUGUCCAAAAAAAACAGAUAUGAUUAGAACCUAUAAUAAGAUUAUUUAAAAAAAUAUUUAUGGGUAAUCAGUUUAUACAAUUUCGAUUAAAUGUAUAAAUCCAAUCAUUAAUCAUUAAAUUGUUUUACUUUAUGCCAUAGUAUUGUUUUAACUGCAUAAGCAUGUGGGUUAAUGAAAACUACUUAUAGUAUCUCAAUUAAAUGUAAUCAACAACCUCAACUCAUAUCUCCCAUCUCUCUCACUCUCAAUUAUAUAACCUAUUAAUAAUUAACAUUAAUAACCCACUUUCAAGUAGAUCUCAGGCUACCUGCCAUGCCAAGCCUAAAGCUUAUAAGAUGCUUGAAAAGGUUUGCACAAAUAUACAAGAAUAAGUAGGAUAAUGGUUUGGGCAAAAAUUAAGCUUAAUUAUUUAAAUUAUAGAUUAAAUUUAUCGAUAAAUCAUGUUAAGCGUAAUGAUAAGAUAUAUUAUACUCUUAAGAAAAGAAUGUAGAUUCAAAUACUAGAAACGAUAUUGUUAGGAAAAGUAAUCACAAAUCUCAAACAUGAAUCAUAAAAUAAACAUAUAAAAUACUAAAAAAAAUCGAAUUUAAACUCAUUUAAAAUUGUUGAAACAUGGAUAAUUUAACUCAAUAUUGCAACAGGAAUUUCGAUAUAGUUUCUAUAAAAUUUAGUGUUACAAUAUGAUUUCCCAUAGAAGUGUGAUAAAAUCAAUAAUGUUGACUUGUAUUAUUGCAUUAAGUAGUGCAUGAAAUGUAGGAUUCUAUUGUAAAAGAGAAUUAGAUAAAAUUGUAUAAAGUGCAUACUAAAAACUGUUUUGGAGGCUUUAAAGAAUUCUAUUCGCUUAAAAGGUAAGAGUCUACUUCAUCAGCUAAGGUUUACAAUGUAGGGUAAGUGUUCAAUCGAAUUAAGUGAAAAAAUUUUGAGUUUAUCGAGUUGAUGAGUCCUAUUUUAUCAUACUAACUUGAUUUGAAAUUUUCUCGAAUCGAGUCGAGUAAAAUGAAAUUCAAGCCAAAUCAAAUCAAGUGAAAUUAUUUGAGUUAAAUUAAAAAAUUAAACAUGUCAAAUUAAAAUCUUGUUAUAGUAUAACUAAUUUUAUGUUAGAGCACAUAAAUUUGAAAUCACAUAUAUUUGAAAACUUUUUCAAAGUAAAAUAAGAAAAAAAAUAAUUUAAUAUAAUAAACUUAAAUUAUUAAUUAACUUUUAUUUAAGUCCCCAAAAUUAUUAUUUUAAAAAAAAUUAAAUUUUUAACUUUCUUUAUAUACUUUAUAAUUUUUUUAAAAAAAUAUAAAAUUUGGAAUUUUUAUAAAUAUUUUGAAUUUUAAAAAUUAUUAUGAAAAUUUUGAAAUUUAUUUUGUAUUUUUUGUUGAAAGAGAUCAAUUUGCUUUUUUUUUUAAAAUUAAUAGGGACCAAAAGGGGUAUUUAUACCAAUCUAUUAUUCGAGUUAUUCGAAUUGUAAAAUUCAACUUGACUUGAACUCAGAACUCGAAUUACUUAUUCGAUUUAAUUCGAAAAAAUUGAAUAAGAUUCAAUUAACUUAGAAUUCGAUUUUUAUUUUAUUUUUUUGAUCAAAUCGAGUUUUGUUCACCCCUAAUAACUUGUUAGCAACUUAUGCAAGAAUUUUUUAAUUUUAAAAUAAAAGCUAAUAAGAUUAUUUUAUCUUGAUAUUAAAUGCUAUUUAUACAACAUAUAAAAGAUGGUGGAUACACACAGUUGGGGUAGACUUUUUGAGUGUUUCAUUUUUCGGGUUGAGGGAAUAUUUUGCAAGGUAAAUACACCUUGAUACCCUAGGUAUUAUUUGGAGAAUUUUAUUCACUUGUAUGCAAAGAUGUUUGCAAUAUGUGAUAAUAUUUUGGGAGAUUGGAUGCAAACAAUUGCAUACUAGUGAAACUACUUUUUAUCUACAUUUUGCAAGAUAGAUACAUUAUAAUUAGAGGUGUCCAUAAGUCGGAUUGGAUCCAAUCAAAAUUUUAUACCCAUUUGUCAGGCUAAAAAUAUUAAAAUUCGAGUCCCAUCUGGCCCGUUCGUAUUAAUUUUUUUAUAUAAUUUUUUAAAAUAUAUAUAAUACAUCAACAAUACUAAAAACAUUAAAAUAAAUGUUAAAAACAUUAAAAUAAAUGUUCCCCAACAAAUUGAAAAUAAAUUUACAAAUUGAUUAAUAAAUUUUAAAAAAAUAUGUAUACUUAAAUAACACUAAGAUAUGUAUAACUUAACAAGCAAAUACCUCUAGAAUAGUAACAAAAUUAAAAAUAAAACAACAGUAAUACAAUAUCCAAAUAAUAACAAUAAAAUAGUAGCAAUAUAAUUGUGAAAUGGUAGCAAAAUAAUGAAAAAGAAGAAGAAAAAAAAGAAAAAAAUUACAAUUCUUUUAUUUUGCAUAUUCGGGUCGGCUAUUUUCUAAACGGACCUUAUUUUUCAGCCAAAAAAGUCUUACCUGAGGCUCAACCCGUUUUCUAAACAAGCCUUAUUUUUUUGCCUAAACACAUUUUUCGGGCCUAUAUUUUUAUCCAAACCCUCCCACUUUUCAGGUCGGGCCACAUGUACAGGUUUAACCAUGAUAUAUUAGGUAUUAUUAUAAACUACUAAAUACUAAAUAAAAAAUAACAUUUAAAAUUAAAAAAAUGAAAAGAAAAAAAAACUUAAAUGAAUAUAUACAAUGUAACAAGGUACAUAAACCUACAUUGUGACAAGUGUCGCAACUUUAUUUUUUUAUUUAAUUUCUAUAUUGUUUAUCUAUUAAAUAAAAUUAAAAUAAUUUAAACACAAUUUUAUCUUAAUGUAUUACAAAAUUUAAUUAAAAUAAAUGAAAAUUGUUAUUUGGAAUAUAUGGAUUUUAAAAAUAAUAAUAAUUUUCAUUUAAAUAAAUUUUACAAAUAAUAUAUAAUGCUGAUUAUAUAGUUUUAAAUAAUAUUUUAAUAUAUGAAUUGUUAUCUACAUAUUUAUUUAAAUAUAUUACAAGAAUUAAAACUAUUUAAUAACAUAUUCAUCAUAAAAUAAAACGAGAAUUAUAAAUUAUUAUUAUUAUUAUUUUAAAAUAUUUAUUUAAAUAAAACUAUAUGAGCAUAGGUUGUAACAUUCUACAUAUUUAUAUAGGUAAACCAUCAUGAUAAAAACUAUUAUCAUAAAAUUUUGCACUUUUUAUUAUAUGAUAUGUAUAAAAUAGUUCAAUUAGAUAUGAUUAAUAAUAAUAUUUAUGCUCAUAAAAUUAUCAAAUUAUAUAUUACAAUGUAUUUAUAAUGGCUCAAAUAUUAAAUAAUGGUUUACGGGUUGUAAUAUAUAAUAGUUCAAACAUAUUAUAAAUUUGAAAUAUAAUAUAUAUUAUAUUGAAUUAUUAUUAAUAGUAGAUAAUACUGUUAUAAUAAUUUAUAGUAGUAAAAGUAAAGGGUGAGCUAACAAUUCAGUGUGUAACUCAAUCCAAACAAUCAGCACAAAUACAGAUACAGUAACAAAGAUGAAUAUAGAUACAGAUAUAAAUCCUACUUCAUCCACUACACACCAUAUUUGUUCAUCCCUAGACAUCAAUUAGAGUAUUAAAUACUCAUGCAACCUUACCCACCUAGAAGUGAGCGUAUGUCACUUUUCAGAACAGUGCAAUCAAGCUACCAGAAAUAAUGUAAUAAUCCGCCAGAAUUAGAUAAGUGUGGUCAAGCCAUCAGAACAAAUAUGUGGUUUAAACCACCAGAUAAGACAGAUCAUUAAAUUGUUAACACUUCCUCCAUCAUAUUAUUAUCCCACCUUAAUGCAUAUGCAAACAUUAAUCAGGUAACAAAUGCAUAUAUAUCAUACACGCUAUACGUAUCAGAAUAUACUAUCAUGCUUUUAGAAAUUGCACAAACAGAAUAUUAGAUUUCAUAUCUAUAAGUCAUACAUAACACAUUAUGAAACCUACAAAGUGGCUAAUCUCGAAUCGUACUUUAAAUACGGCCUAACUAAAUUUUAUAGAAAAUGAGCACACAUGCCCAUGUGACCCACACGGUCUGGCACACGGCCUCACACAUACUCAUGUGGCCCACAUGACCCACUUAACUUAGCCCAUGUGGCUCACAUGGUCGUGUGAUUUACACGGUCUGGCACACGGCCAUGUGGUGUCGACAAUGAAUUUUUUGGCUUCGCAUCGUUCAUUGUUUUUCGAGAUUAUCAUUACAGACUUGGUCGUUUUUCGAUACUAACACCACGAAAAAGAUUCCAGAACUUAAAACAACAUUUAACACGAACAAUUUAGCAACGAUACACUAAAUAUAAUCCAUUAAUUCAACCACAACCACUAACAUUAGGCCUUAACAAGCUGGAAAUCAGUCUUUUGGGCAUUCGAUUACUUACCCAGAACAGUAGUGACAGUCCUAAAAAUCUCCUAAUUCACUAGAAGGAUGUCACAUGCCUCACAAACUUCUCCUAUUGAAACAUCAAAACAAUCAAAAAAAUGAAUAUUGCAUAAUACUACAACCCCUAUUCGUCAUACGGAAACGAAUUAACCUUACCGAAGAAUGCACUUACAAGACUUACACUUAAACAAAAAUAUGAAUUCUUUGCUCGAACACGGCGCUACGGUGAUUACAUGCAAGAAAAUCAAUACCACAAGGAUUUAAACAUUGGACCUCUAGGUAAGCUGAAGUUUUACCACUAAAUCAACAAGCUCAUUCUUAUCAUUAAUUUAGCAAAAAUAAUAUAUAAGCUUAAUAUCCAAAGUCGGUGGUUGGGACAAAAAUAACAAAAAUUUAAAUGAAAGAAUUUGAACCUAGAACAUCACACACACUAACACAACACAUAACCAAUAAACUAAAUUAAUCACUUUAACAAUAUUUAACAAUUCAAAAAUAAGAAUUUUGAGACGUUGCUAAAUUGUAUCAUAUAUCAUAUAUCAAACUUACGAUACAUCAUUCAUAAAAAUUAUAACAAACUUACGAAAGGAUUUAAUGAUAUUUAAUUCUUAACGGGUAAAAACUUAUAUCAUAUAUCAUAUAUAUUUAUAUAUUAAGAAUUUGAAUCAUUAAUUAUAUAUCUAUAUAUUAUAAUAGUUUCAUCUUUCAAAUUUUCUUCCUCAUAAUUAAAGCAUAAGUUAUAUUUAUAAUAUCAUAAAUAUAUUAUAUUUCAAAAAUUUACACACAUAAUCAACCUAUACAUCGCUCGUGAUAAGAAAACUAAUUUAUAAAUAUGAAUGUACAAAAUUCGAGCUAAAUCUAGCUUCAAUUUUCCGGUGAACUUCUUUUGACUUUAAAUCUUACUUUUUCUUCUUCUUUUUGGCAAAAUAACUUAUUUGGCACAAAAACAAAAGUCGUUUUAACUUUUUUUUUCACCAUUUUUUAGCAUUUAAACUUGCAUUUUUUUGUUAAAUCACUCCAAAAUGAAUGGAAAAGUUAACAUUUUUAACUUUGCUGAUGUUUCGUACAUGUGGAUAACACAUCAACAUUUAAUAAAUCUUAAAAAAAUUAUAAAAACUAUUUUUAAAAUUUAAAAUAUUAAUAUUAUAAAAAAAUAUAAAUAUUUUUAAAAAUUAAUUAAAUGCUGAUGGGUCAUCUACGUAGCAAUCCAUAUGUAUGUCAUGUCAACAAAGUUAACAAAUAUUAAUAUUUUCAUCCAUUUUAGGAUGAUUUAACAAAAUAUAUAAAUUUAAAGACUAAAGAUGCGAAAAUAAUUAUAAGACCAAAAUGACUUUUUUUUUUAAUUGAAGGACGAAAUAAAUGAUUAUGUAAAGUUGUGAAUAUUAAUAUUACCAUAACAAUCAUAAUUCGCUUAUGGUUUAUUCAUUUUUAGGGUUUUCCUUACUAGGAGUCUAGGAUACUUGAAGGCAGAUAUUAUUAUUAUUAUUAUUAUUAUUAUUAUUAUUAAAUUUAAACAUAUUUUUUUAAUUAAGGAACAAUAAUUUGGUCCGGGUCGGUCCUUGGACAGUAUUGUAAUUUCCCAAGUUAUUAACAUUUGUUUAGGGUUUCUCAUAGUUAAGAAUUAAGUGGGCUAAUUUCCCAACUUAGAUUUGAUGAUACGAUUAAAAAAUAGGAAAUAUCAAAAUAUGAUCAUAUGAAUUAUUAAUACUAGUUUUUUUUUAUCUGAGUAAAUAGAUAAUUACUUGAAUCAAUUUAAUAAAAAUUAAUAUACUAAAAAAUACAAUUCCAUCAUUUUAAUAGUUUAUAUAUUUAUAAUUUUUAAAGAAUUAAAUUAAUAUUUUAUCAUUUUAGGGAGUUAAAAUUUAAUUUUACUAUUAUUAAUUUAAAAUUUUAUAAAUUAUAUGUACAUACCCAAUUUUGCCAAACCCAAAUACAUUUCAAACCCUUACUAACCCAAGUCUGUUUACAAUAUUUUCAGCCCAAUUAGCCUAACCCAAGUACUACUAGCCCAAUACCCUAAAUUAACCUAGCCCAGCAGCCCAAAACAAAUUAGCAGAGAGGAAACCCUAAUUCCACUUGCCUCCUUACUUGCGCCGCACGCUCUUCUGCCCUUGGCUACCACGCCCCACUUUCUUCUGACACCAGCACUGGCCACCUGCUCCACCAUGCCUCUGCCACCGCCGUUCGCCCAUACCCUGCAAAAUGAAACAAAUGCCAAGACAGAAGCAGACAGCACAAGCAGUAACAGAGAAUAAAACAAACAAUACUUUAAUAUGGGAAUCGGCUAUAAAGCCGAAAUGGAAAAUCUGUAAAAGGGGGGAUUUUUGCUAUGAAAACAAAGAUUUUCUUUCAAUUUUAACAGAUUGAAUACAAGAACCAUUCGAAAAUACAUAUACAAUCAGGGGCUCUAACACCAAAUCGGAGAAUCAAAUCUAAAACCUAAGGUGACUUUUCUUUCAUUUUUUCUUUACUAUUUUGAGUUUGUUUUUUACACAAAAAUACUAAAAAAAAUAACAAAACACAUAAAAACAUAUAUAUUAUUAAGCAAAAAAAAAGAAAAGAAAAUUUACCUUUUCCGGCCACCGUGCACGGUGGCCGACGCCGACGAGUCUCCGGUAACCGUCCGGCGACCGGACCCCUGGCCGGAGUCCCACCGAAAAUCGCCCUCUCCCUCUCCCUCUCCCUUUCUUUUCUUUUUUUUCCUUUCCCCAUCCCCAAAUGAAUUUUUUUUUAAUUUUUAACUUAUAUAGGGGACCAAAACGUCCCCCCCUUUAAUAAAUAAAACGACGUCGUUUUGGACGCGGGUCGGGUCGACCCAACCCGCACCAGGGCAGGAUCCGCGUGUUUCUUAGCGGAAGGGAAAUUUGCGUGCUCGGCCUUUCCGCUUUUCUGAGAUUUCACAAUUACGUUUUUUAUGUUUUGUAAUUCGGCCCUAGAAUUUUUCAUCGUUUUCAAUCUGGUCUCCGUGCUGCGCAACGUUUAGAUAGUUGGGAUUAUUUUCAAUUUUGGUCCCUCCAGGUUGCGCGUGCCUCACAUUUUGAUCCCUCCUCUUUGUUUCCUUUUUAAAUUGACCCCACAACAUUGUUUUUAAUUUAAUUUUAGUCCUUUUUCGUUAUUUUUAUUUCCUUAUUAAAUACUCUUAUUAUUUUUAUAUUAUUAAUUUUAUUAUGUAUUAGUUUAUGUUUUAUUAUACAAUUAUAUAUUUAUAAUAUGUAUACACGCUUAAUAUAUUUGUAUAUACUUAUAUAAUAUUAGUACUAAAAGUUUUUAUUUUAAUAUGUAUAUAUUACCUAAAUGUUUAAAAUUAUAUAUGUACGUAUAUUCUUCAUUAUGUUCUUAAUACUAUACUUUACAUAUAUCGUACAUUUUUGUUUCAAGUUUGCUUUCAUGUAUUGUUUAGUCAAAAUUGUUUUAUUACUCAUUUUAAAAUUGUUUCACAUACUUUGCUUUAAACAUUAUAUCUCUUUCAUAUUAUGCACGUCAUUUUUAACUCUAUAUUGUAUAUCACAAUCUCAUAUAUUAUGUAUGUACUUCUCAUAUUAUUAGUUAUGUAUAUAUUCUUUACAUUAUCUUAUGUACAUAUAUUUUUCAUAUUAUAUUAUAUACCUAUCCUUUUGAUACCAUGUUGUAUAUAUUUUCAAUACUAUAUUACAAAAAUUUUUACCAUAUUAUGUAUGUUAUGUAUAUACGUUUUAAUGUUUUUGUAUUAUCUUAUAUGUAUAUUUUAAUAACUAUAUGAGGUAUGUAUUUUUAACACCGUAUUAUGUACAUAACUUUCAACAUCAUUGUAUACACACUUUUUAAUACUAUGUUAUUUAUACGUUUUUAUAGGUAUCGUGUACAUGCUCUAAAUACCAUCAUGUAUAUAGUUUUUUAUUGUUACUAUUAUGUAUACAUAUAUAUAGUAUCAUUAAUAGUUCUAAUAUCAUGCUCCCAUCACUUUGCUAACUAUUAUUAUAUGUUUGUAUAUAUUAAUUCUUAUUUCGCGUUUAAUACUAUUGUUAACAUAUUUAAUAUCGCAUAUAUGGCCAUUGUUUUAAUAUUCUCGUCGUAUUUAUCAUUUAUUUCAACAUAUUUCUAGCCCUUCCAUUUGUUCACUUUUAUUUCAUAUCAAUUUUGCUUGGCAUUUCUUCGAAAAUCUUAUUCUCGUUUUCUAAUUAAUUUCAAUAAUCGAGGCAACAUAUCGACUUAACAUUAAGUCAUCGAGUUCAUCGCUAUGUUGGGUGAACGUCAAUUGACACGUGUUAAAGCGAUAUACCCUUCUCAAAAAACGGAAUAAACUAAAAUUUCUCGUUUUUUAAUCGGAUCACGACUAAAUUUUACAUUGAACCCGAAUUUUUAAAAAUCAAGACAACCUGUGUUUAUGAGAUACCAAUUUUUGGGCGUCGCGAGGGUGCUAAUACCUUCCUCGCGUGUAACCGACUCCCGAACCUUAAUUUUUCUCUGGCUUUUAACGUAGACCUAAACUCAGUCUUUUUCUCGUUUUUAAAGAAAAAAGAAAUUUAUUAGGUGUUCGAUCACACCUAGGAAAAAGGAUCGGUGGCGACUCCCCCUUUUAUUUCAAAAUCGAACUUCAGUUUCCAAACUUUUUCACUAGAUCGCCACAAUUAGCGACCCCGAAACCAAUUUUUACGUCGCUACAUUAUAAAUGAGACUAAAUAGAAAAUUUUCUAUUUUAAGAAGGCUCAAAGACCUUGCCAGCCUCCUUGACUUCACCAUUGAAAUCUAGAAUAUACUCCUCACUAUGCUUUGGAAAAUUAAAGAUUUGAAAUUAUAUUAUUGUGUAAUAGAUAUAAUUAAUUUUUAAAUAUAUAAAUAAAGUUAAAGUUAAAAUUAAAUCACUGUGAUAAAUUGUAUAGAAUAUAGAUGAUUUAAGACAUGAUGCAAAUAAAACAUAGUUAAAUAAUUAAUAUAUAGCAUGCCAUAAUAAUAAAGGUGAAUCUAGAGGGUUCACAGGGCUUGAUUCUCCUAAAAUAGAAAAUUAUUAUUUAGAUUUUUUUAAAAAAUUUAAAAUUUUAAAUUAAUAAAAAUAAAAUUGUACUUUGAUUUCCCUAAAAUUAUAAAUUUUUUAUUCAAUCCUUUUAAAAAUUAUAAAGAUAUAAACUAUUAAAAAUUAAAUUUUCAUUUGGCCCCCUAAAAAAAUAUUCUGGCUUCGCCCCUGCAUGAUAAUAAUAUUAAUACAACACAAAUACACAAAAAAAUCAAAAUCUAUACAUAACAAUUAUUUACUUGUAUAAUUUUAUAAUAUUUUGAAUACAAAGAAAUAACACAAACAAUUUUCUCUAAAUUGAAUCACUCAAAUAAAAUAUUUUAAAUAUCUCAUGAUUUUAAAAUAUACUAUAAGGAUAAUUUUUUAAAAAUAAUUUAUUAUGAUAAAUCAUAUAAAUUAAAUAAAGAAACAAUACUAAUCCAACAUAAAAGAAAUGUAAUAAUAAUAUCAUAAAAAAUAUGUUCUUAGUUAAUGAUUUAGUCUGUACUUUGAGAAUUAGAGAAAACUCGAGUUCGAGAUUCAAUUAUAUAUGAGAAAAGUAUUAACAACCUCACAAUAACUUAAUACAUGUUGUUUUAAAAUUUUGAACCCAGUAUUUAAAUAUGAUCCCGUAAAAUUUAAGAAUGCAUGAAAUUUAUUAAUUAAGUGAAUUUGAUUUUGGAAAUAAACAAAAUACUCAAUUUAAUUUUAUUAUAUUUUUUAAAAUUUACUCACAUUAUAACAUUAAGAACAACAAAUGAGAGCGUAUCCAGUAAUUUUGGCAACAAUCUCUUUAAUUUUCGUAAUGCUAAAAUAUUACCUUUUUUUUUAAAAUUAAAUCGAUGUAAAGAAAUUCAUAGGUGCAUUUUCAUAUAAAUAAUUGAAUUAUUCAAAAUUACAUGCAUUUAGAGAUAAAUAUUUUACCCAGCACUACGCUUGUUCGACUCGUAAAAGGCAAAAAUUAGGAUUCAAAAUUAAAUUAUAAUUUUUAUGAUAAUAAAAAUUACUUAGGACAUCAUGUUCUCAAAAACUCAAACCUUUAUCAACAUAGAAUUGAAUCGAAUAUCGUUUUCAUCUUCCCAAGUUUCUAUACAUAAACUAUGAACACGGAAUUAAACAAUACAAAAAUGGUAUUCUUCUUCCAUUGACAUUUGAUAUCAGCUUCAGAAAAGGCAAAAGACAAGAAUAAAGAGAUAAAACAAAAGAUUAAAUCAAUCCUAUAUCCUUGACUGACAUAAUUUACCUUAAAAACUCUAUACUUUAACCAAUCCCACCUAUAUGAUUUUUCUGUUUUCCUAUACAUAACUUAAAGCUUACUUGGAACCAAGUCAUUGUAUUGUAUUUCAUGUAAUUUUUUGAAGCAGAUCCUCAUCUCCUCCAUCUGCAUUGAAGGAAUAGAUGUCGACCGGGGCCACCGUGCAACCCAUGGCAUUCUGCUUGGUUCUUUUAUUACAAAAGGAGCCUCGGUGUUUGUCUAGAUAGAUUACAAUCACGGUGAUAUCGUCGUGAAAAUGGCGCCUUAUCCCCUUUUUUAUUUUCUUGAUGUCACUGUAUCUCAUCUCCCUUUUCUUUGCAACUUCUUGAAGUACAGCUCUUACCAAUCUCCUGGCAAUACCCUGCAAGCAUUCAAGCAAACAAAUAUCAAUAAUGAAAUGCAUUGCAUUUCCAUAGGUUUCAUUAGGUUAAUGGAAGAACACGAAUACUCACGGCUCUCGGGUUUUUGAAAACGAUGUUUACAGCAGCUUCAUCACUCAACUGCUCCCAUAGGCCGUCUGAUGCAAAGAUGAGGAAUUGAUCCUGUGGCUUAAGCUUUCUAAUAAGGAUCGUUCUGCUGUAAUAACCGGCCUUUUAAGAGGAACAGGGUUUCCGAACUGCUGGAAGAUCGGAUCUCUAUAAAACUCAGGUUUCUUCAGGUAAACAUCACCUAUAGAUCUUGACACCUGAAAUAAGAAAAACAAAAAUGGCUUAGACCAGCAUGAUCACUCACAUGCUCAAAGAUCAUGUAUUAAUCAAUCAUCUCCAGUUCUACAAUCCAAUGUAAGAUAAAAGCUAAUGCAUCUUAUUCUCUCGAUUCGUGAAUGGAUCGAAGUAAAAAGCUCAACUUGCCUACCAAAGUAAAGGGGAACAACAUCACAAAAAGAGAAGAAAAACAUAAAAACGAGAGAGCAUCGAUUCCUUGCAGUUACAUAAGCCUAGCUUUAUGCUUCAGGGGCCUGCAUUUGUCCAUCUCAUGCAUAUAAGGCAUACUAUAUGGAAAAUAGCAGCAUGAAACAGUACUGGAAAUCAGACCAAAAUAUUCUUGGAAAAGUCGAAAAACUCAGAAUUAUAACCAUUUUUUAGAAUGAACUUCCAUUCUAAUGCACAAUGUAUACAUCCAUAAUUAUACCUCUCCAUCAAGCAAAAAGAAACAAAAUGGUUGCAAGCAAUGCCUACGAAGAGGAAGUUAAUUGGCAACUAAUUCUAGAAUCAACAUAUUGAUCAUUUCUCAAGCAGACUAGUUUUGAACUAAACGAUUAUAAAUCAACUUGUCAAUAAAAUUGUACCUGGAUUAUGCCCUUAAUCUUCCAAACUCCGCGGGUGUAAACGACUAUAUGUGAGUCAUCUGGAUGAAGUUCCUCGACCUCCUUUCGAACUUCCUCGACUCCAACAUUAUGAUCAGUUGACAACCUCUCUGCCACUACUGUGUUUUCCUUAUCCCCCGAAGCUUUCCUGCCAAGAACAGCUCUCGAGUCACCGAGAUUCGCCACGUAUAACACAUCAUUCGAAAUUGCACCAACUAGACAGCAUGAUCCAACCGAAGCAAUUUGAGGCCUCACGGACAAUGAUCGCUUCACCAAACGCAAAAACUCCUCUUCAGUGGCAUUGAAUGCCUUCUUUAUCACAUCUGCAGAUAAUCCCCCUUGUUCUGUAGCAAAUUCUACAAUGAAUAAAGAAAAAAAAAUUUAAGGGUCUCCAUCAAUCUUUUUUAGAAUCCAAGUGCAUGCUUAUCACUGAAAAGUGUGCAAAACAAAGAAAAAUAAAUGACCUGAAAAAUGCCAAAACUUGAACUACACUUACUAAUUAUUCCGAAAAAUUCAAGUCCAGACAACCCCAAGUAGAUACAAAUUUAGACAAAUAGUUCAUAUUCUCUUUUCCCAUCAAAACAUAGUGCUACAUGACUGUGGAGCGGGGCAAGAUAGAUAUUGUCAAAUUCAUUACUGUUCCAUUGCUGGCAUGAUCUGCCUCGACCCCACUCUGCUUCGCCAUAAAUGUUAAAACUUGAAUAUCAUUACUUUUAAUAUGCAUAAUCUAUCAAUACCUCACCUAAUAUAUACAUUUUUACUCGUUUUAAAAGUUAAAUAUAUAAGAAUAGAGCAAAUAUCAAAAUUAAGUGCCCCAUUGGUCCCUCUUUUACUGUUAAAAAUUAGAAAAAGAAAGUCUAUUUGGAGUCAUCAGUUCGAAAUCUAUCAAACUAAAUACAUAUUUGAUGAUUCCAUAGACAACUUAUGAUUUUCCUGACAAGGUCAUAUCUAUAUACAUACAUGAUCACAUGUUCAUUCAUGUCAUACAUACAUAGGAAUGUUGAAAUAAAGAGGGAAAAAGGGAAUUACUGUGGAGAAAAGGGAAGAGAUGUUUGUUAACAAAACGGGAAGCUUCCGGACCGCCAUGACCAUCGUAGACGCCAACGUAGGUAGCAAAAGGAGAGGUGAAGACUUGGCUUUGAUCUUCGAGACAGUUGUUAGCCUGCACGACGGCGAUGGAGAAAUCACCGGAAGCGUGGGGUUUAAGGUCAGCGUGCCACAUGAGAGCAUCCCCACCAGCUCUAACGCCAAGACAACGUUCGAGCGGCCUGGAAAGGGACCGUAACAUCAUCAUCAUCGUGUUUAAAAAAUAAUAAUAAUCCCUUUAUAGGGGAUUUGAUUAAAUGAAAACCUUUUCGAUGGUUUCAAUGGGGGGUUUCACUUUGGGGGAGAGGAAAAUGGAAAGAUAUUAAGAGGGAAAGAGAGAGUAGAGAGUGGGGUAAAGUGAAUGGAAAAGAAAUGCCGCGUAAAGAGAGGCAGAUGAUGAUGACCAACGACCCCCGAUGCUUGCUGUAAUUACUUCCCACUCUACGCGUUAACCACCCUUUUUCUUCUUUUUUGACUUUUAAACCCAAAUCCUUUUCUUUUAUUUUUAAUUUAUUGAAUGGAGACACUUAGGUCUAAUUUAAUAUUUCAAUUUUUAAAGAAUCGUAUCAGUGAUUGAAUUAUGUAUCUACUUAUUCUCGAUUUAAUCGGUUAGUUUAGCUCAAUUUAGGCCUGUUCAGAUUAUUCAACUUAAAAAUUUGUUCGAAAAGUGAGAUGAUUUAGGUAAAAAUAUAUGUUUAAAAAAUAAAUUUUAAUAAAAAAAUAAGGUAUAUUUUUUAAAUAGAUUGAGUCUUAAUAUUUUUUUGUUCAGGCUCAACUUGAUCUGGCUCAAAUUUGUAAAAAAAAAAAAUGUUGUUACUUUGUCAUUGUUUUACUGUCAUUUCGCUAUUAUAUUAUUACUAUUUUAUUGUUUUUGUUUAGAUAUUGUAUAAUUAUUUUUUUAUUGUUGAUUUGGCUACUAUUUUAGAACCAUUUGCUUACUAAGUUGCACUUAUAUCUUGGUGUUAGUUAAGUAUAAAUAUCUUUUAAAAAUUUGUUUUCAAUUUAUUGGGAAACAUUUAUUGCUCCAACUGACCUAUGGAUAGCUCUAGUUCAAUCCUUUUGCCCGAAUUGAUAUAUCAAUUGAUUUAUUGGUUCAACUAAUUCGAUUAGUUGAUUUUAUUUGAUUUGAUUCAAAAACACUAAGUGUUAUUUCAAGUUUAACUUAAUUUAUAUUUGUGUUGAUAGUUUAAAUUAUUUUAAUUUUAAAUCAUUCAAAUUCAACACUUAAUUUUUUGGGUCAGAUCGUUUUAGGACUAUUUCAUAUUAUAAUUUUAUAAAAAGGAAGUUGAACUGAAUAAUAUUUAAGUUUUUGAGUUGAAAUUCAAAUCAAUGUUAUUAAAUUGGGUCAUAAUUAAUAGGUGUACUAGAAUCUAAUUACAAAUAUAUAUCUAUAAGAUAAAACCAAAAAUAAAGGAUUAACAUCUGACCAAGUAUUGACAAUGCAUUGUUAUCCACAAAUUUAAUUAGAUACAAAACAAGAUAAACACUGUAAUGUGAAUUUCGUAUGUUAACUUAACGGUUAGGAUAUUCAUCGCUUCAAAUGUGAUUUGGGAUUGAGUCACAUUAUCUCUAAUAUGUCCUCUACCAAAGAAAAUGGAGGACUAAAGUUUGAAAUCUUAUUUAGUAUUUACAGCCAUGAUCAAUUUCUCUUUAUGAUCUCCACCCAUACAAUAAAUGUGAAAAGUGUAGCAGUACGAAUACCAUGUUUUUAUAGGGGCCGCCAUUCAAGAAUAUAUUACUUCCUCUGAACCUGACACUAAGGCAUGGAUAGCAACUUACAAUGUAUCAAAUUAAACACUAAAAUUAAACUCAUAUAUCAAAUUGAGAUUUAAAAAAAAACACUCAAAUACAAAAUUUGACAUUAAAAUCAAACGCAAGUACCGAAAAAUAUAUUAAUCCAUAUUCAUAAACCUUUUUCUUUGUUUUUGCACCCGUCAAAAUUCCAAGACUUACAUAUCUCUAAUUAAGAGCAUCAUCAUUUACAAAAAUUAAAAAAUUAAUCCCUCUACUUUAAUUUGUUAUAAUUUGUCCCACGUAAGUUAUAACAACCGAAAAGUUAAUCUAAUUAAGUAAUAUUGUUAAACCUUAUCAUUGAAUUGUUUGUUUGGAAACCAGCAAUUUAACAACUUAUAUGCAACAAAUUAACAAAACUCAUUUGUUCAAGUUCAUGUUUUGAAUAACACCUGGACUAAAUUUCCAAUUUUCAUAUGCUACAAUGACUAAAUUUUGACAAAUUAAAGUAGAGGGACCAACUUCUCAAUUUUCAUAAAGUAGGGGAUGAAAAUCAUAAUUAGACCAUGUAUAUGUUCUAUCGUGUGAGUUGGGGCCUGUUUUAUAGUAUACUUCUACAGUAAGGACAGUCCCCACACGUUCUGAGCCAAGGAUCUAAGCAAGCAAAGUGAAACCUGUGCCCACACGGCAGCUGAGUAAGCACAUCUCCUUCUCCGAAGCUUUCAAGGCAUAUACUGCAAUCUCUUGAUUCCCUUGAUGUCUUCCUUUCAACAUUGAUGUCUUGGCUGCGGAAAAUUUCCAGCGGCAAACGGUCCAGAGCCUCCUGAGUAAGUCCAGGAGGCUUCUUGUUUGUUUCUCGUAACAAUUCGAAUCUUUCUGCUUCAGAGGUUAAUGGGGAACCCCUAGCUGCCAACCCUGUAGAGAGUUCACUUAUGAUCCUAAAAUCAUCGCGCGUUACAUGCUCCCGGUGGGAAGCAUUAGGUGGAGCUCUAUUGCUUCGCCUGAAGAAAACAACAGGAAGAAACCGUAAUGAGAGGGAAAAGAAAAGAUGUACAAAAUGUUUAAAUAGCGGUUAAUGCAGGACCUAACAUAUAUGUGUCCAUUAUUGAAUGCCACGUGCAAGUAAAAUUCAGGAUCGAGUGGUCCACAUGCUUCUCUCAAGCAGUAGAUGGUAGUUAGGAAACGAGUAACACUAAUUCGCUGUGUACAUGAAGUGGUACCAAAAGUGGUCUGGAUAGUCAUAGUGGCUAAUGAUGUUACUACUUAGAACCUAUGUUACUCAGAGUCAGGCAUGAGUUUCAGAUAUGGAUAUGUAUCCAGUACAGGUAUAAUUACUUUUUCUAAGUUUUUCCAUAUAUUUAAAAGAUCCUUGGAGGUCAUAUCCUCGUAUUUGUGUGUCAGACACGAGUGUCAAAUGAAGAGUCCGAGCAACAUAGCUUAGAACCACUAAUAUUACCAUAGAAUAGGAAGCACCAGCAGUGGGACUGGACCAUAUUGAUAGUUAGCAAUGCGAGAACAACAGGCACUAAUGGGCAGAAAGCACCAAUAACAGCAGUGGGCCUGGAAAUUAAGGUACUACUGGUAGGUAAGGAGUGACGAAAGCAAUAUCAGCUUGAAUGUAUAAGCAGAAGUGGGACAGAAAUUUCAAGCAUAAAAACAAAAAUUCAAUCUAUUCAAGAAUAUAUACAUAUAGAGCGAGAGAGAGACUAAAUUCAACUUAAACAUUUUCAAGGAAAAAAAGAAAAAGCCUGCCGAAAUAUGAUGAUUAUGUUAGGCAAUUCCAUAGAAGAAAGUUCAAAUUCACUAGUGACAACCCACCCAACUGACCAGCUGAAAAGUCCAUGGUAAGUUGGAAAAUAGUUUGGACCGAGUGAAAUUAGUCUCAACAUUAACUGGCUACAACCCCUAACAGCUCUACCAUAUGAUACGGUAUCUCUAUUCUUACUGCUAAACCAAGUCAGACUCCUAGUACCCCUAAUACAAGACUACAUAUUUAUCAUUUGGAUUCACUAAUAAUAAGGUAGCACAAUGAACUGCAAGGCACUGAUUCUUCCUACAGGUUACGAUGCAAAUUGCUCAUAUGAUAGACACUUCUUUUGAUCAUAUUGCACCCUCAAUAGAUCCACAAAAUCAAAGUUCAAGAGCAAAAUCAUUCUGAAUUUAGGUAAAACUUUCACAGACACAGAGCUCCACAUGACUUGUCUAUCCUAUCAUCAAACUUCAGAAAUAAGUAAUAGAGAAGAGAUGUGCUGUGCUGUGCUGUCUUUAAAAAAUGAAAUUUGUGACAGACCAAGAAUAGUGGGAUAAAUUUGGUCCAACUUGAGUAGCAAAACAAAUUGAGUGCCACAGGCAAGUUCACCAUCAAUGAUAAAAGUGGCUUCCAAUUGGUGUCAAAGAUCAUGCAGAUAAGAAAGAACAUGAUUCAAUAGCUAUUAUAAUUUACUUGUUCUUGCAGUUUGACCAGUAAUAAUGCUGUACAUAAUACAUGGACAAGAAAUGCAAAUACUAAAAGUUGCAAAUUUGCAGAGAGCUCUAGGUAACCUGUUUGCAGAAACAGACACGCCUCUUAGUCUUUCAACAAGCCUUGCUCUUGCAAGCAGCACAGCUCCAGGAAGCCUCUCAUUUGCUCUCAAACUUUGCCUGCUUGAACUGCUUACACCAUCUGCAUUUAAUCCAUAGCUCGAACUGAGCUCACCAGUACCUUCAUCAAACCCUUCUCUAGCAAGCCUCUCACUUGAUCUCAAACUUUGCCUUCUUGCAUUGCUUACACCGACUGCAUUUAACCCAUUGCUCGAUACAAGCUCGCUGGUACCUUCAUCAAACCGCACUGAUGAACGCUCCUGAAAAAGUAAUAUCCAAAUAUAAGCGAUUCAGGCAAGGAGAAAUAAAUUACAUAGACUAGGUAAUAAUAUCAAACUUCCUUGUUUAUUCUUGUAUAUGUGGCAAAAUCUUACUGCAAGUGAGCUUAGGCUUUGCUUGGUACCAAAGAUGGAAAGGAUGAACAUGGAAAAUUUGUUCAUCAAAUGUUAAGAUUCAUAUCCACCUUAUUACUUUGUAACUUAACCAUCAGAUAAACAAUUUUCCAAUUCACUCCUUUCCGUCGUUCAUAACAAGCAGAGCCUUAGGGUUUAGAAAAAUUGUCAAGAAAAUACCUAUUCUUCAGUAAUUUCACUGAUAAAUUUAGCUUAAAACUAAUAAUUUUCAGAGCAAAGUUCAGUAUUGAAGCAUAAAACAGACAACGAAUAAAGUACCAAUAAAUUGGUUGAAAAUCCAAUUCUUAAAUUAAAAAUAAAAAAAUAAAUAUAUUUUCCCUUCCAAAAAUAAUACUUAAUUCACCCCCAUUUUUCCUUUAAGUUCUCUUUUUUCUCAGCAAUAAAAUAAAAACAAAUACCUAACAAGAAAUAAAUAAUUUGAAAAAAAAAAGGUAAAAGAGAAAUUGAGCGCACAGAGAGCGAGGAAGCACGGGAGCUGAAGUGGCGCACGUGGGGAGACCGGCGGAGGGAAUCACCGCCGUCCAAAUCAUGCCUCUGAUUGUGAUGACUGAGAUGAUUCCGGCGAUGGUAAUUCCGUUCAAUUGAGGACCCAAUCCCUGAAUCCGGAUCGGGUCGACCCACUCUUGACCUUCGUGUGUAGAAUAACUCCGAAGCGCUUGUCAUCCAACUAAAACCCCCAAAUGGUGUUUUGAUCUGAUCUUACCAAUUAAAAUUUAUUUUUAAUUUCUCCAAAAAAAAUUUAAAUAAACAUGCAAAUUGUAAUUUGGAUUAAGAAAUAAAGGAAGAGAAGCUGAUGAACCCUACGAAGAAACGCGGGAGAAAUUCCUGCGAAUGAAAAUCGAUAGCCUUAGCUUCAAAGGAAAUGAAUGGAAAGGGAUGUGCGUUUUUUUAACCCUAAAUGGUUUAAUUCCGGUUUUAGUCCCCCUCCUAAGCUAAAAUGUAAUAUUUAAUCUUAUAUUUUAAUUUUAUAUACUUUCGUCUUUGAUAUUAAAGAAUAAUAUUUGAUACACCGCAAAUACAUUAUCAUCGAACAAUAACAUGAUACUUGAGUAUAAACAAAAUUAGUGAAAGAAUUAUCAAUAAAUAUUAACAAUUUUAUUUAGUUUUUUUUUUAUUUUUAAAUUUCACAUUUCGAAUUUUAGAUAUAUUUAAAUAAAAUUAUUAAUAUUUAUUUAUAAGUCAUUCAUUAUUUUUUAUUUCAUUAGCAUUGAGGUGUCGUGUUAUUAUUCAUUAAUGGUUGACGAUUUAUUUUUAUUAAUUUUUAUCAUUAUAACGAUGAUGUGAAAUCUUUUAUUGACAAUUUUGUUAUGGUCAAGGUAGCCAUAAUAUAUGUUUUUUAAUACAAAUUCUGGAUAAUAAUUAGUAAUAUUAAGAAAGUAAAAAAAUUAAAUCAUGUUAAAUUAAUCGAGGUUUAAGGGUGUAAAAGCUCUUCAAUUUUUUCAAAAAAGCAAUUAAGUCUUUACUUUUUUCACUCAAUUGAGUACUUUAACUUUUAAAAUGCAUAAAAAAGGACCUUCAAACUUUUUCAAAAAAAAUUAAGCCCCUACUUUUUUUUACACUCAAUUUGGCACUUGAACUUUCAAAAUAUAUAUAAAAAAAAACCUUCAAGCUUUUUCAAAAAAAGCAAUUAAGCCCAUACUUUUUUUUUACUCAGUUGAUUGGGUAAUUAAAUUGUCAAAAUGCAUAAAAAAUAACAUUUGAUUGUUAACUUUAACAGUUAACCGUUAAAAUUAACUGCCCCUAAUUUUUUUCAAUUAAAAUCAUCCCGUGUCACAACCACAACAUGACAUAUGACAAAACAAUUAUAAAAAAUAAAAAUCAAUACAAGUUAUAAAAAGUAUUAAACUUUAAUAAAAAUAUAAAAUUUAUUAAAAUUGUAAAAUUUUAUAAAAAUCAUAAAUAAUUAUAAAAUGUAUCAAAAAGGCCCUUUAACCAUCAAUUUUUACCGUUGACUGUUAAAGUUAACGACCCCCAAUUUUUUUCUAAUUAAAGUCAUCACGUAUCGUAAUACAGUGUGGCAUGUGGCAAAAAUGAUAAAAAAAAAUAAAGAACAAUUAAAGUUAUAGAAAAAUUAUAAAAUGCUUGUUUAAAAAUUAUAAAAUACUUCUUUUGGUACGAUAAUUUUUAUAUUUUUUUAUAAAUUUUAUAUUUCUUUACAUUUUUUUAUAAUUUUCUUACAAUUUUUAUAAUUGUUUAUGAUUUUUAUAAUUUUUUUUCUAAUUUUUAAUAUUUUUAUAUUUUUAUUAAAAUUUAAUGAUUUUUUAUAAAUUUUAUUUAUUUUUAAUUUUUAUCAUUGUUUUGCCACAUUUCACGCCAUGGUUGUGACACAAGAUAACUUUAACUGAAAAAAUUAGGGUCAGUUAACUUUAACGGUUUGAUUAUUAAAUUUAACAAUCAAAGGGUCUUUUUUUUAUGCCUUUUGGCAGUUCAAAUACCCAAUUUAGUGUAAAAAAAAUAAAGGUUUAAUUGAUUCUUUUUUUAAAAAAAAAGUUUGAGAGUCUUUUUUGUGCAUUUUGACAAUUCAAGUACCUAAUUGAGUAAAAAAAAAGAACAAGGGUUAAUUAAUUUUCUUGAAAAAAUCUUGAAGAUUUUUUACACCCUUAACCCAUUAAUCAACCAACUGUGUCAUUGAAAUUUGAUGAUUUGGGAAAAUAUCUUGUGAAUAUCAAUUAGAGAAAUUAAAUCUGAAUUUCAAUAUAUUAGAGGGACUAAACCCAGAAAUUUACCGUGAAAAAGAAAAGGUAUAUCUUUAUGUGUUAGUUGAAGGACUAGUAUUUAGAUGUAGCCACGCGUUAAACAAAGUGUUCCAUUACAUCAACAUAGAAUUUAUUUUCCUUCAAUAAGAUUUUUUGCGUUGACUGUUGACCAUGGAAAAACUAUAAAUCAAAUUAUUAAUUGAAAAUGAUAUAUAUUCCUUCAAUGAGAAUCUUUUUAUUACCUUAAGUCGAGAAUUUGAUUCUCACCUUGUAUAUGGAGUAGUUUUAGAACUCGUAACUUAAUAUCUACCUCUUAAUAGACCUACAGAAUAGAAAAGAUUAGUUACUAUCUAACUUCAAUAAAUACAUUGAAAAAUAAAAAAAAUCGAUAUUAAAUGAAAUAGACAUAAUAGAUUUCUAAAGUCAACUUUGGUCAAUAUAAAUAGAAAAACUAAAUGAAAUUUGGUUUAGGUAAAUUUUGGGUUCAGAUUAAAUUUAAAAUUUAGUUAAUUUUUAUUUAAGUUAAUUAAGUUUGAUUGUAAUUUUUGAAGGUUUGGUGAUUGGGAUUUAGAUUAUUUCGGGUUAUAAUUACUUUGAGUUUAAGACAUUUUAAGUUAUUUAUUCGGGUCAUGUCUAAUUAUUUAUUUGAAUUGUUUCAAGUUUGGAUUAAUUUGGGUCGAUUUCAUAUUUAGGUUAGACAAAUCAAUUUUCAAGAUAUGAACUAGAGUUGUCUAUAAGCCAAGUCACCUAGUCUGGCCCGAAGGCUCGUCGGCAAAUAGGAGGAUUUUAACAAAAAAAUAUAUGUCCAAAAAUGAGAUUGGACAAAAAAUAAGGCUCGUUUUAAAAAUGGGUCGAGCCUCGGGUAAGGUAUUUUUUUACCCUGGCCUGACCUAGAUUUUACAAUAAAAAAAUUGUUGUUUUGCUACCAUUUCACUAUUAUGUUGUUUCAAUUUGUUGAAAAAUAUUUAUUUUAAUAUUUUUUGUGUAUUAUAUUUUUAAUUUUUUUUUAUAUAAAAAAAUUAAUAGUGUCAGACCAUACCCGGGUUUUAGUAUUUUUAUCCAAGCCAGGCUUGGACAAAAAUUUAAGCUCAUUUUUUUGGGCCAAAUUGGGCCCAAAAAUUUAUCAGGACCAACCUAAUUCGACCAUGGACAAGUUUAUAAAAUAGCUAUUUAUAUAUAAAAAAAAAAUUGUCCAUGAGCUAUUUACUAUUUAGAGUAUUUAAAUAUGUCGAUUGAGAUUUAAUUCUUUUUAUUUUGAGAGGUGGAAUAAAAUAAUUCAAUUAAAGUGUAAUGAUGAUAUACCUAUAAUGCAUUAUAUGUCCCAUUCUUCUAUCUUUUUAGGGAGUCAAUGAUUAUUUAUAGCUAUUAUCUUUAUAUCAAAAAAACAAUUCGACUCAAUAAUUAACUACUUUUGCUAGAUUGAUUUUUGAUUAGAUUAAUAUGUUUUUAGUCAAUUUAAAUUUUAAAAAUUUUCAAAUUAUUUCAAUUUCGAUUAGUUUUAACUUUAGAUCAAUUCUUAUUCAAUUAUAUUUUAGACUCAGAAUUAAAUGGAUCGAAUUAUCAGAUUUAAUGAUUUGUAUGUAAAAUUUUAUUUAAAAUAUUUUAAAUACCACUCUAACACAAUUACAUAAUUCAUAGAUUAUAUAAUUUGAAAUUAUCAUUACACACCACCAUUGAUAAUUUCAGCUUGUAAGUCCUAAUAUUUUAUUCAAAUUUCAUAAAAACCCUUCCUUAUCUCCAUGACUAAUUUUGUUUGAUCAUCACAUAUUUGCAUGGGAAUAGUGGUCAUCAUGAACCGAAGACUCCGGUUUAUCAACACCGUCGACGCUUCGAACCCAGAAACUUGAACCGAAAGAAGCCGCCCGGUCCGGAACGUCAUCCAUCACCCAUUCAUGGCCUUUCGGGAAAUAUAUCCCACUCUUUGGAUGUGGAACCCAACUCGAUGAACUUUUUAUAUCGUCGUUACUCUUGCACUUCUUAUUGAUCUCCCGAUCUGCGCCUGCAAUUUUGCUCAAUGGUCGCUCAACGCGUUUUGCUUCCCUACACCCGAAUAAAGUUUCCAAAAGUCAAACAUAUUUAUUAAGUUCAUAAUGAUUUGCCUCUAAAUUUUGUACUUUUGUAUGGUUUUUUUUUGGUAAAAAUUUUAAUUUUUGGCUUUUCUAAAUACAAAACAAAUUUCAAAUUUCAUUUUUGACCAAACAAAAACAUCUCAAAAUCAUGGCUCAAACUUUAAAACGAUCCCUAAAUUUUAAAAUGUUCUAAUUGAAUCUUUAAAAAUAAAGUAUACCUAAAACACGUUUUAAAUAUGCUCUACAUCAAACAUAAACUAACAUUUAACACCCAGAUAGACAGCGAGAGUGACAAAAAAAACUUGGUUAAUACGAUACUAAUAUUUUUAGGACCCAAUUAAACCAUUUUAAAAUUUAAUGACUAAUUUAAAAUUCAUUCUAUAGAUUAAGAAAAUCUGUUGUAAUCAACCCAAAUAAUAACGACAACAUUACGUACCUUAGCAUCAAAAUCUUGGUUUUGGUAAAAGCAGCUCUUCCCAUGCAAUGCAGCUCUUUAAAACCCCUCAAAAAAGGACUCCAAUGCAAUUAUCUAGGACUUGAUCGUUUGUUUUAUAGAAUGCUUUCGAAAGUGCAGUUUUUGUACUUCAAAUUGUAUCCGAACGAAUGAAUAAAGGUUUGACGAAUAAGUUCGAUUGUGAAGGUCCUAAGAAAAUUAAAAUUUUAGAAUAUUAUAUUUCGGAAUUUCGUCUUUUUAUUUUAAGAAAUUUAAUCAUUUUAUAUUUUUCGGAUUUAAGUAUACAGGUCCAAUUAUUAUUAAAAGUGAUUCGACUAAAAAAUUAAAAAAUAUUUCGAAUUUCAAGUUAAUUGAAUUGAGUUAUUCGAUUUUUUCGAGUCAACUAGAAUAAGUAAUUCGAGUUCGAGUCGAGUUGAAUUUUACAAUUCGAAUAACAGAUUAAUGUGAAUACCCAUUUGAUCCCUGUCAAUUUUAAAAAUAGGUAAAUUUAUCUCUCAACAAAGUUUACAAAAAAAAAUCAAAAUAAUUUUCAAAAAAUUUUAAAUAUAAUUUUUAAAAUUCAGAAUAUUUAUAAAAUAUCAAAAUUGAUAUUUAAAAAAUUUAUAAAAAUUCUAAAUAUAAAAAAAAACUUAAUUUUUUUAAAAAUAAUAAUUUUUGGAAAAUUUAACUAUUUAAGUUUAUCAUACUAAAAUAUCUUCUUCUUUUUUUUCUUAUUAUGCUUUGAAAGAAUUUUCAAAUUUAUAUGUUCUAACAUUGAAUUAGUUAUAUUGUAACAAUAUUUUAAUUUGACAUUUUUUUUUAAUUUCACUUGAUUUGGAAAAUAUUCAAAUCGAGUUAGAAUGAUAAAAUGGGACUCGUCAACUCGAUUAACUCAAAAGUUUUUCACUUGAUUCGAUCGAAUGCUCACCCCAAACUAAUAUCAUAAAAAUUCUUUUGUUAAAUUUAGAUUCGUUACAAUAUUAAUUUUUUUAUUUUAUGACUAUCAAAUUUGUUUUUUUUUUCUUUUCAUUUCAAGGUGUCACAGUAAUGAAUUUAAUAGAAUAAUUUUAACAAUAUUAACAAUUAAUUUUUUUUUGACAUUUAAAAAAUAAAGAAACUAAAUUCUUAAAAAAAAAACCAAAUUUACGAAGAAUCAAAUUGGAAAAUAAAGAGAUAAAUAUAUAUUUUUUGGUGCUUAUGUUUAUCUUUGAUUUUAAUUUUGCUAUUUAUAUAUUUUUUUUUCAAAUUGGUACUUAUGUUGUUUUUAAAUUACACAAAAUGGUAUCAAAUUUAUUAUCUGACGUAUGGAAUGAUGAUGUCAUAAUAACAUUUGGGAAAUUAUAAAAAUUUAUAAAAAAUAUGUAUUAAAAAUUCAAAAUAUAAAAAAUUAUAAUGUUUGAUACCAAAUAAAAAUAACAUAAAAAUCAAUUUUUUUUAUAUAUUUUCAUAUUUUUAUAAAAAGAGUAUCAUUUUUUUAUGAAAAUAUAAAAUCAAUUAUUUUUAAUAAAAAUAACUUUUUUAUAAAUUUUAUUAAAAAUUUAUAUCAAAAUCAUGAAAAUAUUCAUCAAGUCACAAAAAAGAAUUACAAUUUCUUACCCGAAAUAUAUAUUUUAUAUUUCCAGAAUUUUUUAGAUUUUUUUUAUUUAAUUUUUGGAUAAUGACAUCAUCAUCAUCACAUAUUAAAUAAUUAUUGGACCACAAAAUAAAAGUUAGCAUCAUUUAACUUAGGUACCAUUCUGUGUAACAGUAGUCAAACGUGGGUACCAAUUUGAAAUAAAAAAAAGGACCAAAAUGAAUAUUAAGAUCAAAUACAUGUACUAAAGAAUAUAUUUAUUUUUUCAUUAAAAUAGUUUAAAUUAAAUUAUUAUUUUUUGAGAGAAGUCAAAAAUGAAAAUUUUCAUUUAAAAAGAAUUAAAAUAUUAAAUUUUAGGAGGGUCCAAGGAACCAAAGCCUCUAACUGCCGUUAGUUUGCCAUUGUCAUUAUCAAUUUACUCGCCCUGAGAGGAGUUUAGCGGCGAAGCUUGGGGAUAAUUUGUGGCCUUGACCCUCUUAAAUUUAAAUAAUUCAAUUUAAUCUCUUUCAGCCCAUUUAUUAAGGAGAGGUCAACUUCUUUAAGAAAAGUUUAUGAAGUAUGAUUCAUUAAAAGCUAGCGAACAUCCCAAUAAAUCGAUAUUAUUUCAAUUGAAUUUUUUAUCUCCCAAUUUUACGAAGAAUUAAUGGGUUCACAAAAUGAAUAUAUCUUAUUAGAUGUCUAAUAAGACAAAUCACAUACAUCGCAUCGCACUUGAUAUCAUAUACGACAUCGAAAAGCUAGUAUAUUACCACUUAAACUAAACACCUAUUUAUUAUGAAAUCUGUUGCUUCGAAUAAACGAGAAAUAACAAAUUUCUCCCGAAAAAAUCGGCCCCUAUCGUUUCCUCUUUUUCAAAAGUAAAUCUUAAUUCGCUCAGGUGAUUUGGAAUAUUGAGAUUUUUUUAGUGAAAAGAGUGGCAAGUUGGUGUGACACCUAAGGUCACUUUAACAUAUAGCUCUAAAUUCUAGAGACACUGUGAAUCGUUACUUCAGCAUAUGCCUCUUGUUUUUUUUCCUUCUUUCACCAGAAUAUAUUCAAUGCAAAGAACUUAUCUCUUACACAUUUGAUUGUUGGUUAAAUUCGAGUUUUAGUCCCUAUAUUAUACUUCCUUCCUGUUAUCGAUGUUAUACUUUAGUCUAAAUCCAUAAUAUCAACACAACUCCAAAUUCAUUAUAUCAUUUAAACAUUAAAAUUAUCUAUUUAACUUGUGAUUUAAAUAAAAAUUAAAUUAUGGUAUAACCACGAUGUGGAUAAAAAAUAAAAUUAUGUGUUAAUUAUAUUUGUAAAAGAAUGAAAUUUUAAUUAAAACGAUAAAGUUUAAAUUUACUUUAUAAUGCAAUGAUAUUUGAGUCAUUAUCCAAUUGAAUUAGUGCCUAAUAACUCGUAACACCAAUUUAAUUAAUUAUGCACAACAUUAAGUUUUAUUAUCUUUCUUUCUUUAAUAGAUUACAGUCAGUUACUUAAAAAAAUUACAGUUAAUUAUUAUUUUAUAAGGUAAACUAUCAAAAUAGUCAUUUUUGUUUCUCUCAUAUUACAUUUUGGUCACUUAUGUUUGAAAUGUUAAGUUUUAGUCACUUACAUUUAUCGUAUUAUAACAUUUUAGUCACCGAGCGUUUAUUGCCGUUAGCAAUAUAACAAUAAAGCUGAUGUGACACGUUAAAUCAUCAAUUCAAACGAAAAUUUUAAGUUAAAUUAUACAAUUGGUCCCUAUUUAUUUUGAGCAAUUUAUUUUUUUAUAUUCUUUGAAUUUUCUUUUUUCUUUUUUAUUUUCCGUUCUCUUCUGUUUCUCCCUCUAUUUUCUUCCAUUCCCUGUCUUUUUUAACGUAAAUUUUCUAUGUUUUUCAUUUCUUAAAAUUUAUCUAUUUUUUUUCUUUUAUGUACUUCUACGUUAAAAGAUAUGGAGAAGUGGUGAAAAUAGAGGGAGAAGUAGAAUAGAAUGAAAAAAAAAAAGAAAGCUAAAAGAACAUAAAAGUAAAAAUAUGGGGAUUAAUUGUAUAAUUUAAUUAUUUGAAAUGAUGAUUUAACAUGUCACAUCAGCUUACCGUUAACAACAAUUAACGGCUCAGUGACUAAAAUGUUACAACACAUUAACAUAAGUGACUGAAAUGUAACAAUUGAAACAUAAGUAACUGAAAUAUAAUAAUUGAAACAUAAGUGACUAUUUUAAUAAUUUAUCCUAUUUUAUAUUAUAUGAAAUAAUAUUAUAACUGCUAUUUAUUUUAAAAUAUUAAUUAAUAAAAUCACGUUUCUAACUUGGUAGUUAUAAACCAACGAAUUUAGGCAAUAAGAAACUAAUAUUUAGUAGAAAAGGGUAAUUAGCACCUCAAAGACAAAGCCAGUGAGUAUUUUUUUUUUUUAAUCGAAAGCUCCCUUCCAUAUAUAUUUUGAUUUUAUUUAAUUUCUUCGUAUUUAAAUAAUCAAUGGUUUGUCGAUUGAGUCUUAACUCUAUUGACAUAGACAUUAUUGUUAAUGUAGGAGGACGUGAGUUCGAAUGUACUAAAACGUAUUAUCCUCCUAUUUAUGAAUUGAAGAGAGACUAGAGCAGAUAUAAUGAGAACUUAUAAUGAAAUUGUUCAGAAAAUCAAACUCACUAUUGAAUAGGAGAUUAAAUAAUAUAAAAAAUAAAUAAAUAAUAAUAAUUAUUUCGAAAAUAUCUUACAAAAUAAAACAUAUCUUCAAAUCCCAACAAGAAGAAUAUAAAUAAUAUUUAGUUUGGUCAAUCACGAAAAGAACUUAGAUUUUAACAGAAUAUAUUAAUUUUUAAAAAUAAAAAAACCAAAUUUUUUUUAGAAUAUAAUUUUUUUUAAAAGGAAAGAAUAUUAAAAAGAAAACAAUUGUCAUAAUUGAACUACUCUUUAAAUAUGUCUGGUUAAAUUGAACUGUAUAUGACCAUGAGAUCUUUGGUCGAUUUUAAGAGGUCUCGAACAAUUUAGAAGGAGAAAUCAAAUCUUCUGUUACUUAUAAAGUUCACAUUAUUCGGUUUGCGCAAAUAAAGUUUAUAUGUUUAGUUGGACUUUGAAUGAUUACAAAAAAUUCAUUCAUAAAGUUUUAUCUCAUCAAGUGAUUUUUUAGAGAGAUGAUCAUGUAUUGUAAUACAUUUGAAGGAAUAAUUCGGAUUUGACCGUGCAUUAAAGUAAGUAUAGGGUUUUGUUUUUAUCUUAGUUAGAAUGAAAUAAAUAUAAAAUCAAAUAAUUAUAGUAUCAUAACAGUACAUCGUGCGAUUUGGAGACCCACAUAUAUAAUUGCGUGUAGUGAAUUUUGAAUUUGGGUACUUAAAGCUAAUAACUUAUUGAAAUAUAUGGGAUAAUUUACACCAAGAUGAUGUUUGAACAAAAAUUUAGAAGGAUGAGCAUUUGGUACACCGGUAGUGUACUCUUUUUAUUUAAUAAGUAGUCUUAAAAAUUGCCAUGUGUCUCUUUUUUUAAAUAUAUAUAUUAAUAUUUUAUUUUACCCUUAUAGGAUACUCGUCAACCUCUUGACGCUACUUGUGAAGUCUAAAAACUCUAUUGACAUUGUAUUUAGGGUGUAAUAAAAUAAUAAUUAAAUAAUUAAAAAUGACACUUAUAUCAUCUUAAACUCGCUUGUGGAGUUUUUUUUUUUUUUUACUAAUAAUUACCCAUAAUUUAAUAGAAUAAUAUUUAGUACAUUAUGAAAUUUUUAGACUGCACAAGCAAAAUUACGAGAUUGACAAAUGUCCUAUAUCUAAACUUUACAAAUAGGGUCAUGAGGUUAUAAUAGAAUUGAAUAGAGUUUUGAAUUAGGUGCAAUAGUACCUACAAAGCCAUAAAUGUUGCUUUGCAAAUUGGGGGUUUGGUUGGAAGGAGAUGCAUUAUACAUAUUGAGGAAACUUACUCAAAUGAGAAAGACGUAUCUCUUGAGACAAGCUAACCAACUUGUGCUCUACUAGUAUCCCGAUCUUUCUUUAACAGCUCAACUACUCAAGAUAUAUUUUUACUUUGAGUAAAGAAAUUUAUAAAUCAUAUGACCGCUAGAAAAAAAAAUGAGAAAAUCCGCCAACAACUCUCAUCACCUUUUAUCGCUAAGGUCUUAAAUAUAAGAUGUUGAGAUUUGUAAGAAGUUUUUUUUUUAAUAUUUUAUGUCUAGAUUAAUUUUGAUUUUAAUUUAUGAUUAAUUGUGUCUUAGGCCGUGUGAGCAUUCGAAAUAGGGAUAUACAGUCGUGUCCCAACCCGUAUGAGUAAAUUGACUUGGGUCACACGGCCUAAGACAUGGAUGUGUCUCACGGCCUGGUCACACAGUUCUGUGAUCCCUGCAGUGUUGAAAAUUUUAAGUUUCUGAUUUAGUCCCAAUUUGUUUCUAAUGUGUAUUUUGGACCUCGAGGGCUCGUAUAAGAGACAAUAUAUAUGAUUUUGAUCAGUUUUUGACAUGAAUGCUAUAUGAUAUAAAAUGUUUGCAUUUUCUGUCUAUUUGAUUUGUAAACUCCAGUAAUGCUCCGUAACUCUGUUCCGACGAUAGAUUCGGGUUAGGGGUAUUACAGUGUGGGCUCGAACCAAUUGAAUUGAAACACAGAACUAGAAAAAGUUUUCUCUCUUUUUGGGGUGAAAACGAAAAUUCUCUUUUCUUAAUAGAAAACGAUAGAAUUGUUAUUCCGGAAAAAUAUAGAUAAUAGUUAAGAAUAAACUCUGUAUUUUUUGAUAAAAAUAACGAUAUCUUAAAGUUGUCUAAAUAGCUCUAUCGGUGCCAUUUAUUUAUACGAGGAGAAAGUAAAACCUUUGAUGAGUUGUAAUGGUUUAUUUCAAAUAGAAAAAUAACUUCCUACUUAGAAUAGGAGACAUGUGUACAACACACCCUAGUAUUCCUAAAAGGUUGUCGCCCCCUUCAUGUCACAUGAGAGGUUUUAGGCCUCUCUUACAUCAGGUCCAAGUACGAGUACUUCUUAGGCCUUUUUAAUCUAGUACUCUGUAAUGUGAUCCAACUUGAUUCAGUUUUUCUAUUUUCUAAAAUAAACUUUAAUAUUUAUAUAUAAACAAAGUUCUCAUCCCUAUUUUAUCCCUACCAAAAUUUUGAUAAUUUUGCCUCUGGUAAAAUUUCGAGAAAAUAUGUUCAAUAUUUCACAACUCAACACGUUCACUAUAACCGAAUGGUUUAUUUUCACUUUCGGGCUUCAAAAUAGUCCAAAAAGAUAGACUCAUUCUUCCACUAUUUUUUAAGUAAUCCAUAUAGGAUUGCAAAUUUUUAUUUUUAUUUUUAUUUUUAUUUUCAUUGAAACCUACAUUCAUUUCCAAAUGAUUUCAUUUCUCCAUUUUGAAAAAUAACAUAAUCAUUCAUGAAUGUUUCCUAUUUCUCUUUUUCUAUUCAUUCCGUUCAUUUCUAUUCAAAGACACAAUUCAUAUCUGGAUUCAACAAGCUAACAAAGGGAUUGAUUGGAUAUAUGUAGUUGAAGAUCAAAAGAUUUAUAAUUAAGUUCCAGCUUUUUGUCUAUUAAUUAUAAACUCAUUUAGUCAAGAAGUCAUUCCACUAUAAUAUCGUAACUGAGCUCUCCUCAAUGACAUACCGUUAUGAAAGCAACUACACAGUACUUGUCCAAUAACCUUAUCAUAAAUGUGAUACCCUUAUAGGAUAUCAUAGAUCUUUUUAGGAUAAUAUUUGUUCUCCUAAUAUUAUAUUAUUUUAUAUAAUGGUAAUCAUUACAUCUUUCUUCAUGAAAAGUCAAUCACUAUCAAAUAGUGAUCAAGUCAUCUAUCAGAAAAAUGGACGACUUGUGACCACGUUUACUUUUCAUCAACCAUGUAAUGCCAAAGAGAGGAUAUCAUCUACCCAUGUAUGAAUGACGCUACAUACUAAAAAAAUUCGUACAUCCAACACACCAGCUUUUGGUUCCUUAUCUAUUUGAACUCAGGCUUUUACUUAUGUCAAAGUGUACAACUCACACAUACAUAAUCCACUAUCCACUCUGGAUUUAGGUAUGUCACACUAUGAACGUCACAAGUGAAUAAAUCCAUAAACGGAUUCAGGAUGUAUCCUGCUUUGGUUUUGUUCGAUGUACUGCUAGUCCAGUCAGUCACAUCUAUGUCUUUAUCUUUUGCGAGUCAUCCACUCUGAUGCUUAAGACAAGACAUCUCCAAAAUUGGACUUAAUAGACGACGUAUUAUCCUUUCAACCAGUUUGCUCAUUUUUCAUGUAAUACCUCGAAAAUUUCUAUAGUAAAAUAUUAUCCUUGAUAUAGAAAAAUAAGGAAAUAAGUGAUAAAAAGGGAAGUUUUGAGUUAUGACAACAUUGGCAAGUAAAUUAUGAUAUCUUGGUCCAGGAAAGGACUAAAAGUUUUGUUGCACAAGAGUAAAUACUCAAAAACUUGAGGGGUUAAAAGGUAAAUAUGAAAAAGUUUAAAGACCAAUAAUGCAAAUAUUUUAAGGGUGGAAUGAUAUAAAAACUAAGGAAAAUGGAUGAAUUAGGACCAAAUUAAAUAAGUAAAGAAUUAUGAGAGACUAAAUUAUAAUUUUAUCAAAUUAAAUGAUGACUCAAGGAUGAAAUUUUAAAACAUAAUCAAGGAUAAUAUGGUCAAUUAGAAGGAGAGAGAAAUCUAGAGACAAUGAUGAUGUUGGAGAUAUUUUAGAUAAAUUAAAUAAAUAAAUAUUAGUUUAUUAAUACUUUAAAUUGAUUUUUAAAUGAUAUUUGAUUAUUUAAUUAUUAUUUUAUUUAAUAUAUAUAUGUAAGGAAAGAAAGAAAAGGAUGAUCAUUUUUCCCAUGCACUAAUGUGCGAGAAAGAGAGAAAGAAAGGAACUUUUGUUUUCUUUACAAUUUGGUCCUUCUAUAAAAAAUUCAUCAUUUUCACCCAAAAAUCAAAAGAAUUUUCAUAGCUACCAAGAGAAAAAAAUGUUAAGGAGACUAUGGGAAGUUAGAAUAUCAAGUUGGAUUCAAGAAAUGGAAGCUGAAGGAGAGAGAAAAUCAAGAUGAAGAUUGAAAUCAAUAGAACAAGGUAAGAACAUCAUGAUUUCAAUAUAUUUUUAAGUUUGAUAUUAUUGAAAAAGCACGGAAUUGAUGUUAAUGUAGAGUUUUCUUAUAUAUGGACCUAUGUUCUUGACAUGUUAGUGAAGAGAAAAUAAGAGAAAGUAAUGAGAAAUAGUGUAGAGAAAGAAAA
rnacentral:lncRNA from 1 species